rnacentral:lncRNA from 1 species
CUCCUUCCCUGUAUGCGGCUACCAACGCCCUCUUCCUCGGCCGUAUUCUCCUUUUUACUGCUUCUCCACCUCUAUCACUGUGAACGCAUGUUUGCUGUUCUGUUCUUCAUCUUUGUCUAAAUCUUGUGGGAAUGGAUGGAUCAAGUGAUGAGGAAACUGCAACAAUAUGAUGGGGGGUGGUUAUCCCUCCAUGAUUCCUAGUAUUUAAGUCUCUGAUGGUCCUUCUCCUUUCCUCUUACAUCGCGUAACAUGGUUUAUGUUUCGUAUUGUCGUUCUUCGAUAUGCCUCAGAUUGAUUUAAUGCUUUGGUAUCUUUCUAAGGCGGGAUAUGACGAUGAAGAUAAUUGGUCCGUGUUUCUGAUUUCAUGGUGACUGAUACUUUUACCAAUUCUGAUCCCCCACAUCAACAAGCUUUCGUUGGUCAUAUUUUCUAUUUUGAUUUCUAGUUUAGACGCUGUGAUGAAUUAUGAAACAAACUCUACGCAUGCCAGACUUCAGAGAUGCAUGAGCAACUGUGAGAAGAUAGUUGUUCCAUCCUGUCAUCAUCCUCGAAUCUAUUUCUUCAGAACAUUGCUUAUUUUAAUUGGACUCUUGUGCUUUGUUUUGAGGAUUUAUUUUUGGCAAUUGUUCUUCUAUAUCUAUCCUUGUUAUUUAUCUAAGGUGGGAUACGACGAUAAAGUAAUUGGUCCGUGUUUCUGAGUACAUGGUGACUGAUACACUGAUACCAACUCUGAUCCCGUACUCAAUGAUUUAUGUUGCACAUAUAUAUUGGUAUUUUCUCAGUUUCUCUAUAUUUUAUAUGCAUUGAUGAAUUACGAAACAUAGUCUACGAGAAGGCAUUUCAUUAUUCUGCGUUAGCUAAUCUAGUCUCAUCACACUUUUUAACUUUUGCGUUUUUCAUUUUCUACAGAGAUUUGUUUGUGGCAAAAUGGAUCAUUGUUCUUUGUUUGAGUUUUCAUAUGUUUUCAUACGUUCUCCAGUUGAACAUGUCUGGAAAAGUCAUCAUUCUCAUGAUUUCACAGGCACUUCAGAAUAGACAUUAUAAUAUUCAUUGGUCUUGUUAAGGUAGCUACUUAAUAUUACCAUGAAAAGUGCCUGAAGAGUUUCUUUCCUCGACGAUGAGAUGUAUUUGAGGAAACUGAUUGUUAGAAAAACAUUUUUUGCCAGUUGUUUUCAAAGGCUGGACAUUUCUUAUUAGAAAUUAGAUGUCUUCAUUAUUCUGAUAGAAGGCAAGGUGGAGACCUUUGGCUCCUUAAUGGGCUAAUCCUCUACCCUCCUAAAUUGAGCUACUAAAACUUGAACUCUCUGAUUCCAAUUAAUUCUUCAGGUCAUUCAUUAGAUUGAUCUUGGCAUGCUUGAUUUUGUAGAUGAAUAUUACAUGUGUCAUGGAAGAUGAUGCAUUAUGUGUAGUGAUGAAUAUCUGGUUGGAUAGAAAAAAAAAUCAUUUGACAACUUGUAUUGGUCUGUUUUAUUGUAGUCGGCCCAUGUAAUUAAAUCUCUGAAUAGAUUGGAAGUUAUUAGUGUGAAAAUAACCUCGAAGCUGUAAUUUCUUAUUACAGAAAAGGGGUCAUGAUUGCUGAAAAUUUUUGAUAUAUUCUCUAAUGAUAUUUUUCUUAUUAUUUAAUUUCUUAGUGUGAUUUCUCUUAUCAGUUAAAUUAUGUGUCUUUGGGAUAUAUAUAUAUGAGUUUUAAGAAGAAAAAUCAAGAAUUAUGAAGUUGCAGAAUCUUUACACCAGGCUUCAAGCCCUCUUCCAGAGAAAUGCUUCCAGGUUAUAAGGGAUGCACUAAAAAUGGGUUACAUGGGAUGCUUUAAAGAUGGCUUCCCAGCUAAGCUUGGCCAACAUUGUUAUAAAGUCUAAUUGCUGGUAUUGGAGCUGAGAGAUUUAUAGAAAACCUAAAGUUGUAGAAAAUCUCAAGUCCCUCCAUGGCAUGUGAGAAAUGUUUGCAGUGAUAUAAUUUAGAUAGUUUAAAUGUAUUAUGGUUUAAAUGUAUUAUGAUUUGAACAUGUAUACAGAGAGGGUAACUUUACAGCUUCAUUUAGAUAAGUAGGUUUGUUUUGUUCUCCUCGAUCCCCGGAGGAGACUUUCGUAUUUUCAACUUCAUAAGUCCGCUCGAUUCUCGGAACGGUGUGAAGUUCUCAUUUAAUAUGACCAUAUUUGCAGUAAAAUACUUGUAAGCAAAAUAUAAGUUCAUAUGAUUAUACAAUUAUGAGGAAUGGAUAUAUUAUACCUUUUAUUUAGUGUCAUACAAAUGAUUAUAUGGUUUAUUAUUCAUUUUGGUGAUUAUUUCAUGGAGGAGUUGCUAAGAUGACUAUAGAAUUAUGAAAUUCAAAAAGAAAUUUAAUCGAGUAUGAAUUAGUGUUAUUAUAAAUUUUAUGAUUUUAAAUUUUUGAACAAAUAAAUAGAUAAAUAUUAAAAGUUAAUUUAACUAAGAAAUAAACAUAAAUAAGAGAAUAAAUAAAACGCCCACUUCGGAAUUCUAUUCUCUAGAUGUUGCUAACCUUGAUUAUUAGCAUUGCUUUCGAAGAUUAAUAAGCCUUUUCGACUUUCUCACUUAAAGAGAAUCAUUACGUUUAUUAAUUUUAAGAAUUUUACACAUUUUAAAUUUAGUAACAUAAUUAGAAACUUAUGGAACUCAAGCAAAAUUCUAAGAAAAAAUUUCAACACUUUGAAAUAUUCGUAGUCUCCAAAGUGCCUUAAAUUAUGAAGCAAAUCAGAGUAUUCAAAAUUAAAAGUACUAAUGGUAUUAUCACUCGUUCUUCUAUGUAGUAUAACCAUUGACACUACUGAAAUGAUAUUGUUAGGGCUAUACGCUAUCUUGGUAAUACCACCACUUAGAUUAGAUGACACUAUCGCUUUUUGAUAGUGUUAUUACUAUUUAGGUGAGACAAUUACCUCCUCUGGGUGAUACAACCAUACAUACACUGAUUUGGCCCAAUAAGGGCCCAAAUCUAACUUCAAUUCAGUCUGAAUUUAGCUCAUUUCGAUCUUAACUAGACAUAAGACAAAUGUAACUUAAUUGAGUCCUAAUCUUAGCCCAAAUUUUAUUCAAAUAAGUUUUCAUAUCAACAACCACUUCUUUUGGCAUGUUCUAGAGUCUUCCAAUAAGUCUUUUGAUCCUUCAGCAUAUUAUCAUUUUUUUCAACAUGUCUUUUGAUCCUUCGGCAUGUCCUACCUUUGCAUGUUAAUUUAUCAUUUUCUGACAUUUGAUAUGAUAUUUAAUCUUUCGAUAUAAUAUUCAAUCAUUCAUCACAAUGUCCAAGCCUUCGGCAUGACUUCUAAUCUUCUAUUAUGUCACGAUCCUUGGUUGAAAUGCACCUAUAUCACUUGUUUUGUCAUCCAAACUUUUCACAAAAUUAGUUCCUUAAUUCAUUGAUUGAUUUUAUUAUCAAAAUUUGAAAUUUGAAAAUAUUUCACUUGAAGAUGUUUGAAAGACUUCCUUUAUCUUCAUACCGUAAAUAUAAGAUUGCAUCAUGAGUAUCAAAUUGUAUCAAGUUGAAAAAAUAUUGAAUGAAACAUAACUUGAUAAGAAUCAUGAAGACAUAAGAGUUUCCUAUUAUGAUAUCAUAGUAUUAUGAUAUUGGGUUAUAGCUUCUCCUCUUUUAUCAUCAACAAAAAGAAUGGAAUAUAUAAGUCAUGAAGACAAAAUAAUCAUAAUAAAAAUAAAUUAUAAAUCACAAGCUAUGAACACCGAGAAGUCAAGAGAAAGGUAAGUCAUAAAAUCUAGCAUAUAUCAUAGUAAAUCUCACCCUAAGUCAUUUCAAAAAAAAAAAAGAAUCACAAGGAGAAGUAAUGAAAACAAGUCUUUAAUCAUUCAUUUAAAAGAUUCAAUAUGCCUAAUUAUCUUUUAAUAAAAUCAAAUUGAAUCUCACUUAGAGGCUUAGUAAAAAUAUCUAUAAGUUGAUGCUUUGGAUCAAUAAAAUAUAGAAAUAUAUCAUGAUUAUCAAUAUAAUCCCUAAUUAGAUGAUGUCUAACAUUAAUGUACUUAGUCCUAUAGUAUCGAAUGGGAUUCUUUGUCAAAUAAAUUGCAUUAGUUAUCACAUUUUAUAUAAAUAUUUUUUAAGAAAAUUUCAUAGUCUUUUAAUGUGUGUUUUAUCCGUAUAACUUGUGCAUACUUUGCACCAACUAUAAUAUAUUUUAUCUCACGGUAAAUAGAGUAACAAAAUUUUACUUUUUAGAACAUCAAAAAGUAAGUGCAUAACCUAAAACCAAGUCAAAGUUAUUAGAUUUAGUAUAUUAUAAUCCUAGAGAUAAUGUUUCUUUAAAGGAUAUAAUUUUUUUUAUUGCUUUAAAGUGAGAUUAUUUGAGAUUAGACUGAAAUCUUGCAUAAAAACUAAUAUUAGACAUUAUAUUAGGUUUAGGGACAAUGAGGCAUAAUAAGCUAUUUAUAAUACCUCUUUACAUUUUUUGAUUAAAGUAUUUUCCUUCAUUAUCCAUGUCUAAUUUAAUAGAGAUGUUCAUUGGUGUGUUAAUAGAUUUAGCAUUAUCUAUAUGAAAUCGUUUCAAUAUAUUAAGAAUGUACUUAUUUUGACUAAUAAAAAUUUUAUUAUAUAAUUAAUUAAUUUAUAAUUAAAAAAAAAUCAAUUCACCCAUUAAGUUCAUUUCAAAUUCUUGACUUAUAUUUUUGGAAAAAGAUUCAUAUAAUGCUUCAUUUGUGAAUCUAAAAUAAUAUCAUCAAUAUAAAUUUAAAUAAUAAGAAUAUUAUCAUUAAAAUGCUUAACAAAUAAAGUGGUGUUAAUAUUACCUUUUAAAAAAAUAUUUUGAAUCAAGAAAAAGUAAAGUCUCUUAUAUCAAGCCUUAUAAGCUUGCUUUAAAAUAUAGAGAGCGAUAGAUAACUUGUAAAUAUGAUUUGCAUAAAGAUUAUUUUUAAAAAUAGGUGGUUGUCCAACAUAAACCUUUAUUGAAAUAAAAUCAUUUAGAAAAAAAUACUUUUAAUAUCUAUUUUAAUUUAAAAUUUUUAAAUAUGCAUAGGUAAAGAGCGUCCUAUCCAUAGGAGCAAAGGUUUAUGUAUAGUCAGGACCUUCUUCAUCGUUAAAACCUUGGCUACUAAUCUAGUCUUAUUUCGAAUCACAAUAUCAUUUUCAUUUUACUUAUUUUUAAAGACUAAUUUAGUAUCAAUUAUAAGUUGGUUACUAAGUUUAGAAAUAAACGUUUAAGCUUUUUUUCUUUUAAAUUAGUUCAGCCUUUUAUGCAUCACCAAAACCCAUGAGUUAUCUUUAGGAGCAUAUCGAUAUAUUUGAGCUCAAUUUGAGGGGAAAAUAAUGAUAUUUACAUAAAUAAUUAAAAUAAUAAGUUUAAAUACCCUUUGAUAUGUUUUCAAUAAUUUGCUAUUUAGGAUGACCACUUAUAUAUUUCUAUUCGUUAGGUAAGGUUGCAUUAGAAGUAUAUGCAUCCAAGUUGUUUGGGGGAGUGAAAGUUGCUAGUCAUAGGUGUAGUACAUGUCAUCACAUGAGUGAUGACAUGUGUAACAUGACACACACUCUUUUUUACUUAUUAUUAUUAUAAUAUUUUCUUACUAUAUAUAUAUAUAUAUAUAUAUAUUGUGAUGUCUAUCGAUUUGUGCAAUGGGAAUCGGAUCAUGAUGAGAUCACGAUAAUGAGAUCGUUUCACUUUUAAAUACAAACCCUAGAUAAUCUCGGUCAUAGGUUACUCGAGGGGGACAUUGAGAUAACCGGACAUAUUGCUGUACUGUAUACUCAUCCAUAUGAUGGAGGCGGUUGGUCUCAUAGCUACCGCUUAUGGAAUGUUGGAUGGUUGAUGAUACCUCUUUGUUAGACAAUGAUUCUGUCAUCCUUGUGGUGUAUCUAGUCCUUAGACUUGAGACAUCAAGGAUGUCCUAUAUAAGUGCUCUACUCUUUGAUACUAGACUUAUAUGUCUGGAAGUUUCAGAUCUAGUACAACCGGUUAUCAAGAGUGGUAGCCAACCUUAUGAGGGCUAUUGAGUAUUGAUCGAGGAUCAUCUACUCUCGGUAUCAUAAGAGUAAUAUCCUAUGUAUUCUUGCUUAGACAAAUCCCUAGCCAAGGUCAUUCGAAUUGAGAGAGAAAGAGUUCUCCGGUAGAAUCCGAUUCGAGUAGAAACCAUAUGAGCUUGACAAUACCAUGCCCGGUAUACAGUCUUUUAGAUAUUAGAUGGAUGAGGGACUAUAAAUAUAUGGUGACUAAGGAUGAACAGGUCCAAUAGAUUGGAUUCUCCAAUAUCGUCUAGGGAGUACGACAUAGUGGCCUAAUACAUAUGUAAUCGAUAAGUCAAGUGAAUUAUUAUGAAGAUAAUAAUUCACUAAGCUAGAAGGAGUUAUGACAAGUAUUACUCAUGACCAGCUCAAUAUUAAGCCUAGAGGAUCACUAUUAGGACUCUAGCUAGGAGAGUCCUAAUAGAGUUUCAUUGAAAGGGGCAUGGGCAUUCAUGUAAAACUUAUCUAGCCGACCCUUAUUAAAGAGGUGAAGAGGUCGGCUAAGGUUAGUGUUAGUUGGGAGGUUGUUUCUUAGAGUAGGAGUUUUAUUAGGAGUUGGUUAAAAGUAGGAGUCUUAAGUAGUAGUCCUAUUAGGAGUUGAGGUUUAGAAGCCCUAUAAAUAGUCAUGUUUUCAUUCUCUUUUGACAAGCAAUAGAUGAAUCUUUUUAGCAGCCUUUGAGCAGCAACUUAGAGGAAGGAACCCCUAUAGAGUUCCAAGGAGGCCGAUCCCUUAAAGAUAUCAACCCCAAGCUUAGAAUCCGCUAGGGUUCUAUCACUUGGUAUCAUAGCAGCAUUCUUGGUGUCUCGCUGCCCUUCCAUAGCCAUCCAUUAGCCCUCCACAACCGCACAAAGCAAUUCCCACAAUUGCUUAAAAGAUCAUCGUUGAAUUCCGUCGUCAUCUCCACCAUCACGAAUCAUCCUUUGAUCUCCAUGUGAAUUGCAAUAGGUUCUGGUUUCCUACCUUACUACUACUGCAAUUUAGUUAUCCUUAUUCAAAAAUCUAAAAAAAUCAUUCCUAUGUUACUGCAUAAACUUUUCAUCGUAAAGUUUUUAUCUUUACGAUGAAAGAUGCACUACAGAAUUCCAACCUUAUAGCAUAGUUUGUUUAAUCUUGCUACUGCACUUUUUCUAUCCAAAUCUCUAUGAAAUUUUUAUGACAGCUUUGACACUUCCUAAUAGCGGAUUUUCCUUUGGUUUUGUCAAAAAAUUCUCAAUAUAAACUACUGAUCUUUUACUAGAUGCACUAUAGAAUUCCAACCGCAUAGCACAAAUUGUUUGAUCUUGCUACUGUAUUUUUUUUUAUCGAAAUCUCUAUGAAAUUUUUAUGACAGCUUUGAAACUUCCUAACAGCAUAUUUUCCUUUAGUUUUAUCAAAAAAUUCUCAAUAUAAACCACUGAUCUUUUACGUCCAGACUGCUAGAUGCACUGUAGAAUUCCAACCGUAUAGUACAGUUUGUUGGAUCUUGCUACUGCAUUUUUUUCUAUCCAAAUCUCUAUAAAAUUUUUACGACAACUUUGAAACUUCCUAACAGAGGAUUUUCCUUUGGUUUUGUCAAAAAAAUUCUUAAUAUAAACCACUGACAUUUUACGUCUAAACUACUACACUUUAGACGUAAAAAUCUGCUAUAGUACCUUUCCGUGAUCCUCAAUUUUUUAGAACCUUCCACCACCCCAUGCCAUUAACCCAUCAAUAAAAAAAAAAGACAGGGAUAUCUCUGAUCUAUAGGCAUAUGCUAUGGCUUUUCAAGAUCCAAUUGAUGCCAAAUUUGAAGCAUGAGAAUCUCGGAUUGAAUCGCAGCUUAAAUCACGCUUGGAGGACAAAUUGCACGCGUUGUUUGCAGAAUUCAGAAUUGGAUAAGUGCCGAGUCCAACUAAAUUUCAGUAAGGAGAGAGUUCAGAGAGGCCUCCAGAGAAGGAGGGACAGCCCUCGGACAUGUUUCACCCACACAUGAGGGUGGACUUCCCGCGAUGGGAAUAAGGAGACCCGGUGGGAUGGAUUUCACGCGCCAAACGUUACUUUCGCUACUACCGAAUGUCGGAUGAUGUUAUGGUGGAAAUUACUAUCAUCUGCCUUGAAGGAGAUGCUAUUCAAUGGUACAAUUAGUUGGAAUACAAUCAUGGGGCUCCGACGUGGAAUCAAUUUAAGAACGCACUACUGAAUCGUUUCGGACCUAUGGAGUAUGAAAAUAUCGAUGGCCAACUCACAAAGAUUCGACAAACUUCUACGAUUCAAGAGUACCAAACUAGGUUUGAGAAGCUAUCAUACUUUGCUCAUGAUUGGACUGACCAUUAAUUGUUAGAAACAUUCAUCGAAGGACUCAAGCCAGAGAUAAAAGGGGAGGUCAAGGCGCGACAGCCCCAUAUCGUGACAGUUGUGACUUCUUUCGCCCGAAUAUGAGAAGAACGGCUCAACCAAGAUGCUUGAAGGAUGAGAACCUCUCCUAGGCCCACAGCAUAUAAACCUUCUUCUACUCCCAACUGUCCUUCGCUGCCAAAAAAAUUGACAAGAGAAGAACUACAUGAUUGAUCAGCAAAGGGUCUCUAUCGGUAUUGCGAUGAGCUGUGGAACCGCGAUUAUCGCUACAAAAGGGGCUGCCUCCUACUGAUUAAACCUCUUGAAGACAUAGAGAAGGAGGUCCAAGAGCAUAAGGAAGAUAUUAUGAUGCAUGCCCUUAUCGGUUACGCGAACCCGCAAACGAUGAAAGUGGGAGGACUUCUGAAACAACAACCUAUCACUGUUCUUAUUGAUACCGGGAGCACUAAUAAUUUUAUGAAUAGUAAGGUUACUGUCCGAAUGGCCUUACCUAUCGAGAAUUGCAACAGGUUUGACGUUAAGGUCGCCGACGGACGAAUUUUGAAGUGUGAUCAUAGGUGCCCGCGGGUGAAACUAUUGCUGUAGGAUCAAGAGAUAAAUGUAGAUUUCUUCCUCCUCCCUUUUGAUAAUUAUGAGGCUAUGCUUGACAUCAAAUGGUUGACAACAUUAGGUGAUAUUUUCUGAAAUUUUAUAGUAAGAGGAAACAGGUGAUACUGCACGGGAAACGUGGGGGCGACGUAACGAUGAUUUGCACACAAUGAAUGGAGAAUGUUUUGCACAAAGCAUGCAGCGGCUUUUUGGUACAACUUGAGCAGCAAACUAAGGGAGUGCCAACAAAAUUUGAAGAUCCAAAUCUACUUCUUUUGCUUGUUGAAUUUUCAGAUAUAUUUGACGAACCACACAACCUACCUCCUACCCGUCGGCAUGAUCAUUGUAUACCGAUUCUUCGGAGCAAACCUCCAGUAAAUACUCGGUCAUAUCAAUAUUCUCAUCUCUAGAAGGAUGAAAUAGAAAGUAUUGUAAAAGAGAUGCUCGAAAUAGGAGUUAUUCGGCCAAGUUACAGCCCCUACUCUUCACCGGUGCUCCUCGUACGAAAGAAGGACGGAACAUGGCGAAUGUGCGUUGAUUACCGAGCUUUCAAUGGUAUAACCGUCAAGGACAAAUACCCUAUUCUAGUAGUGUAUGAAGUUUUUGAUGAAUUAAAGGGAGCAUAAGUCUUCACAAAGCUGGACCUUCGAUCCGAGUAUCAUCUGUUAGGAUCGGAGUGGCACUAAGAUGAGGGUGAAUUAGUGCAGCGGAUUAAAACUUGUAAGUUUAAAAAUGAAUUCGUAAAUACGAGGAGAUUUCGUUUCGAUAGUAACUUGAGUAGAUGAAAAUCGAAAGCUAGCAGUAGUGUAAAUAAUAAUUUCAGGAAAAUAAGAACUCACACAUUCAAGGAACACACCAAUUUAAAGUGGUUCGGUCAAAAUGACCUACAUCCACUUGCGAAGCCUUCUUCGAAGAGGCUCCCAACUUCCACUAGCAAAUCACUUUGAAGGGGAAGGACAAACACCCCUCUUACAACCUUUUACAAUGGUUCACACUCUUACAAAUUUUCAAUGAGAAAGAAGGAGGUGAACACUCAAGUAAUUGAAAACAAGACUUGCUAAAGACUUUGCUAAGGCUUUUUUCUUUCAAUCUAUUGCUUCUCAAAAUUUAUAUUCUCUGCUGAGAAUUGAGGGGUAUUUAUAGACCCUAAGAUGAUUCAAAUUUGGGCUUCAAAUUUUGAAUUCUCUUAGGUUCCCAAUACUGGCGGUGCCACCGCCUGUCAGUGUCUGACACUAACAAUGGAUUGGCGGUGCCACCGCCGGACCUCUUGGGUGCUGGGCGGUGCCACCGCCCAGUCCGGUGGUUCCACCGCCCGACCUUACCGAUCAUUGGUUGGGCUUCAAAUCUGGCCCAAACCAAGUCAUAUUCGGGCCCAAUUGGCCCCUAACUAGGAUAUAAGAUUAUCCCUUAAUCCUAACCCUAAUUACAUGUAAACUACACAACUGAAAACAUAGUCCUAAGCAAGUUUUUAACCGGCAAACGUCGAGUCUCAUUACGGCGAGCUUUUCGGCGAUCUUCCGGCAGACUUCCGAUACACCCUUAGAUUUCUUCCGGUGGACUCCCAAUAGGCUCUCGAUCUUGUCGCGAGUUCAGCGAGUAGCCGAGCCUUCUUGGUGAUCUCCACGAACCUCCAACAAUUUCUUCAGCAGACUUCCGAAAGUCCCCGAUUUCUUCUUGCUUGGUUCCGGCAACAUCUCCGAUGAACCUUCGGAUUCUCGAACACCCAUCGAACUUGACUCCGGUAUCUUUGCUUUAUGUUUUCAGGCUAUCGUAGUUAAUCCUGCACACUUAACUCAAUAAUAUGGAUUAGAUUAAUUAAUCUAUCAAUUGAUUUCAUCAUCCAAAUCCGAGAUUCAACAAUCUCCCCCUUUUUGAUGAUGACAAUCAAUUGAUGACGGAGUUAAACAUAACUCCCCCUAUCUAUAUGCCAUAUUAUGAGAGGAUAAAAAUACUUGAAUUCAAUCUCUUUGAAUUCAAGCCUAAGCCGAUAAGUUCUAUCCGUUUGAACUUAUCGUUAUUCUCAAUAAGCAUGAGCAAAUAUGAAACUUCGUAUUUCUCAUAAUUUCAAGCUAUGAAAAUUAUUUUCAAGUCGAAUGAUAAAAGAUAAUUAUCAUUUUGACAAGAGAUAUGAACUUUCAACAUAAAUUUCAUGAUAUAAAUAUAAGGUAUGAUUUCAUAUGAUCAACCAAUCGAAGAACUUGCGAUAUUCUCAAUGAGUUUUGUGAUGCAUAUAAGACAUUUACAUUACACAAGCUUUUGCAAUUCAUAUAAGUCAUGCUAUCGAAUUGGCACAAGUCAUCACAAAUCAUGUUUUGCUCGUUCUUCUCCCCCUUUGUCAUCAACAAAAAGGAGAUGAGAUUUUAAGCGUACAAUUUGUGAUCAUAAAAUCGUUAGAAAAGGAUUUCACCAUUAAGAUCGAUCAUCCAAAAUUCAUCUCAUUAAAAGAAAUCACCAUUUUUCCAGAAUUCAUCUCAUUAAAAAUUCAGCAUUCAUCCAGAAUUCAUUUCAGCAUUCAUCCAAAAUUCAUCUCAGCAUUCAUCCAGAAUUCAUUUUAAAAAAUAUCAGCAUUCAUCCAGAAUUUAUCUCAUAAAAAAAAAAAUCAUCAUUCAUCCGGAAUGCAUUUCAAAAAUUCAGCUUUCAUUCAAAAUUCAUCUCAUUAAAAAAGCAUGGCUUUCACACAAAAGAAAGAAGAUAACAAAACUUUAACUUGACAUUAAGAGUAAUCAUACAAGGAGCGCAUGUCAAGGUAACAGAAGGCAUAUCGAUUAAUCCUUAGGAGGAAAUCCAUAGUUUUUAUACAUGACAUCUAUUUUUUUAUUUAUUUGUCGCAGUUCCUUCAAAAUUUCAAUUUGCUGAAUUUGAAUUUGCUCUUGUUGUGAUUUGAAUUGUUCUUGUUUUGAUUUGAUCUGAUGCAAUUCUGUCAUAAUGUGCACCUAAGUCUUUUCAGUAGAUUUCUAUUGAUGGUGUUAAAUCGAUCAACUUGAAUUAUUUCUUCAUCAGGCGAGACACAAAUAUCAUGGGCAAGUAUUAAUCGAGUGAUUAACCCCCUCAUAUGAUAACAUAGUAUCUUUAGUUAUUAUAUCCUGCAUGUGUCACCGGAUUAAGUAUCCAAAGCAAUUAUGCUAUCCAGUCAUAAUCCAGUACAUGGUGCUUAGGUCUAUUUGACUCAUUUCAUCAAGAUGAAAUUGCUUGGGAAGUAGUAUGCUAGUCAUGAUGUGAUGAAGAAUUUUAGAGUUAAAGGAUAGUAAGUGCUCGCAACUUUUGGGUAUCAUGGCUAGGUUCGGAUUUUCAAAGAUAGUUUCUAAGGUUUCGGAGUAAAUUGCUCCAAUUACAUUAACAAACCUAGGAUAAAUUGGUUCAUUGAUUUGUAGGAGAGGUAAGGCAUCUAAAUGUGCAAACCAUCUAAUGGGUUCUAGGUUUUCUAGUUCAUCUAGAUCAACAUGUUUACCCUUAUGUAUAGUUCUUGUUUCGAAAUUUAAAAACCUAAGAGCUACUUCUUUGGAUCUAAAAAGAUUUUGGUCAUAUGAAUCUCUUUCAACCCUUUUCCCUUUUGUUCUUGUUGAUCUCUUAGGAGCCAUUAUCUAGACAAAAUGAUAGAUCAAGAAUAUGAAACUGUGAAGAGUAGGCAAAAUAAUGAGAAGAGGAAGGAAAGAUUUCAGAUUUUACCUUAUGGAGAAUUCCUUGAAAGAUGGAGAGCUUGAACUAACAAGAAUCCCUCUCCUAGGCUUCUAAAGGUUGAAAUGAGGGUUAGAGAAGUUAUGAAGGAGUUGUGGGAGAUUUAGGGAGAGUUCUCACGGGUUGGGGGCGGUGUCAUCGCCAAUCCGAGCGGUGCCACUACCUGGCGACCGAGCGCUCAGAUGGUGCUACCGUCGGUUCUGGCGGUGCCACCACUGGCAUGCCAAGAAAGAGAAAGAAAAAAUUUCUUUACUCCCCCUUUUUGUUUUUCAGAGGUGUUUGACUCUAGGAUAUGAUCUUGGAUUGCACUUUAAUAUAUCAUUUGGAAUCGAAAGAGAAGGAAGAAAUCAAAUCCACGAAAGAAUAGAAAGAGAUGAAAAACUUUUCGGAAAAUACAUUCAAACAAGCUUAUUCUCAGGGACAAUUUAACAUGCCUAGUUCCCUUCUAAUGAAUUCAAAUUGGUCUUCAUUUAAGGCUUUUGUAAAAAUGUCUGCUAAUGGAUGCUUUGUGUCAAUAAACUCUACAACGACAUUAUUGUUAAGGAUAUGAUCGCGUAUGAAAUGAUGCCUAACGUCGAUAUGCUUAGUUCUAGAGUGUUGAAUUGGAUUUUUGGCAAAAUCAAAUUAACAUAUGUCAAAUUAACAAUUGAAUUGAACUGGAUUUUUUUUUUUUUUUACUUACAAAAAAAAAAUUGGAUUUUUGGUAAGACAUAUAGCACUUGUAUUAUCACAUUUUAUGGGAAUGUUUUUCAAGUAAAUUUCAUAGUCUUCUAAUGUAUUCUUCAUCCAAACAACUUGUGCACAGCAUACACUUGCAGCAAUGUAUUCGGCUUCCGUCGUAGAUAGUGCAACUGAGUUUUGUUUCUUGGAAGUCCAAGAAACAAGUGCAUGUCCUAAAAAUUAGCAUGUUCCGGAUGUACUUUUUCUAUCUAUCCUGCAUCCGCCAAAAUCGACAUCUACAUAAGCUAUUAAAUCGAAUUUAUCCGAUUUCGGAUACCACAAUCCUAAAUUGGGAGUUCCUUUAAGAUAUCUAAAUAUUCUUUUAAUACUCUUAAGAUGAGAUAAUUUAUGAUUAGAUUGAAACCUAGUGCAAAGUCCUACACUAAACAUGAUAUCCGGUCUAGUCGCGGUGAGAUAAAGUAGACUACCUAUCAUUCCCCUAUACAUUUUUUGAUCGAAAUUCUCACCAUUUUCAUCCAUAUCUAACUUCGUCGAAGUACUUAUAGGAGUGUUUAUCACUUUUGAACCAUCCAUAUUAAAUUAUUUUAACAAUUCUAAUGUAUAUUUAUAUUGAUUAAGAAAUAUACCAUCACUAAGCUAUUUAAUUUGUAAUCCUAAAAAGAAGGUUAAUUCACCCAUUAGACUCAUUUCAAAUUCAUGACUCAUACACUUGGCAAAUAAUUCACAUAGUGAUUCAUUCAAAAAACAAAAAAUAAUAUCGUCAACAUAAAUUUACACAAUAAGAAAAUUAUUUUUAAAGUGUUUGAUAAACAAUGUAGUAUCAACCUUGCCUUUGGUAAAAUUAUUUAAAAUAAAAAAGGUACUAAGCCUUUCAUACUAAGCUCUAGGAGCUUGUUUCAAGCCAUAGAGAGCCUUAGUCAAUUUGAAUACAUGAUUAGGAAGAAGAGAAUUUUCAAAUCCGGGAGGUUAUUCGACAUAUACUUCUUCGAAAAUAAAACCAUUCAAGAAGGCACUUUUGACAUCCAUUUGAAAUAGUUUAAAAUUAUUACUACUAGCAUAGGCAAGGAGCAUCUUAAUGGCUUCUAAUCUUGCCACAGGAGUGAAGGUUUCUUCGUAGUCGAUACCUUCUUCUUGGUUGAAACCUUUGGCCACUAAUCUAGUCUUAUUUCUAACCAUGAUACCGCAUUCGUCUUGCUUGUUUCUAAAGACCCAUUUAGUACCAAUGACUAAAUGAUCACUAGGUCUAGGAACAAGCUUCCAUACCUCAUUCCUUUCAAAUUGGUUCAAUUCCUCUUGCAUUGCAAUGACCCAAGAAUCAUCUUUCAAGGCCUCGUUAAUGCAUUUAGGUUCGAUUUGAGAAAGGAAGGUGGCGUUAGAAAAAAAAUUCUUGAAGGAUUAACGAGUUUGAACCCCUUUUGAUGUAUUUCCUAGAAUUAGCUCCUUUGGAUGAGCAUCCACAUGCUUCCAUUCCUUAGGUAAGGAAGAAGAUGCAUCCAAGUUGCUAUUUUGAGGAGGGGGUUCAUUUAAAUUCAAAUUUUUAAAACCAAUAUCAUCAUCAAAAUUAUUUUUAUUUAACUCAAAAAUUUCAUUGAAAACUACAUGAAUAGACUCUUCUAUAACUAAGGUUCUUUUGUUAAAAAUAUAAAAAGCCUUAGAAAUGGAAGAGUAACCAAGAAAGGUGCCUUCAUCAGAUUUGGCAUCAAAUUUUCCUAAAGCAUCAUUUUUAUUCAAAAUAAAGCAUUUGCAACCAAAAACUUUAAAAUAAGAAACAUUUGAUUUUUUGUUAUUUCAUAAUUCAUAGGGAGUUUUUGAUAGAGACGGUCUUAUUAGAACCCUAUUCAUGAUGUAGCAAGUCAUAUUCACGGCUUCAGCCCAAAAACACUUGGGUAGACUAUGUUCAUUCAACAUAGUUCUUGCUAUUUCUUGUAGGUUUCUUUUUUUUCUUUCAACUACUCCAUUUUGUUGAGGAUUUCUUGGAGUGGAGAAGUUGUGGUUAUAUCCAUUAACUUCACAAAACUUUGGAAGUCACAGUUUUGAAAUUUGCCAUCAUGAUCACUCCGAAUUGAUGAAAUCAUGAAGUCUUUUUUGUUUUGAGUGAGUUUACAAAAUUUAGAGAAACAUUUGAAAUAAUCACUUUUGUGAGCCAAGAAAUAGGUCUAAGUGUAUCUAGUAUAGUCAUCUACAAUUACAAAAGCAUAUUUGCUUCCUCCUAGACUUGUUGUGUCAAUUGGUCCAAAUAAGUCCAAAUGGAUCAAUUAUAAUAGUCUAGUGGUGCUAAUUUGAUUUUUUGGUUUGAAACUAGUUUUUAUUUGUUUACCUAGUUGACACGCAUCACAUACUUUGUCCUUAACAAACUUCAUAUUGGGAAUCCCUCGUACUAAUUCUCUAGAUGAGAUCUUAGAUAUUAGUUUCAUACUUGCAUGGCCUAAUCUCCUAUGCCAAAAGCAUCAUCAUUUAAAGUGGAGAAGCACAUUUCAUUACUUAGUUCAUCAAGGUUGAUGAUGUAGACAUUAUUUUAUUUUAAAGCAAUCAUUGACAAGUUAUUGUUUGGUUUUUCAAUAAUGCACGCAUUAGAUUCAAAUCUAAUGAUGUAACCUUUAUUGUAUAAUUGACUAAUACUUAAGAGAUUAUGUUUUAAUCCAUCAACUAGUAAUACAUCAUCAAUUGAAAAAUAUGAUUUAUUACCUAUGGUUCCCUUGCCAAUGAUUUUGCCUUUGUUGUUGUCUCCGAAGGUGACGUACCCUUCUUCUUUGCUAGUGAGCAUAGAGAAAUGAGAUGGAUCUCCAGUCAUGUGUCUUGAGCAUCCACUAUCAAGAUAUCAUCCCUUGUUCCUAGCUUGUGGGUUUGUCUAUAAAAGAGGAUGGUUUUUAGGUACCCAUUUGAUUUUAGGUGCCUCAAAAAUUGAUCUACCAAAUUUGUUAUUCAUCAUUGAAGUAUUUAUAGUUUCUUUAGGAACUCAUAUCAACUUAUGUGGACUAAUUUUCCUAAAUGGAUAUUUGUAAGCAACAUGUCCGGAUUUACAACAAAAGUUGCAUUUCAAACAAGGUGAAACGUGUAAUGUGGGUCCUUUAAUAAAAAUGGUAGGAUUUUGGUGAGAUCCUCUCAUAAAACCAAUUCCACUUCUAUUUGCGACAUGACCCUUGUUUGCAAGGAUUAUGUCCAAUCCCUUGCUACUGACCUUAAACUUAUUUAAGGUCUCUUUAAGUAGUAAAUUUUUAUUUUUUAUUGCUUCUAAGUGUUCACACUUAGAGCAUGGAGGAGUUUGAAGACUAUCAAGCUUAUUUUGUAGCAAGACAUGCUCUUUCUUUAAAAGAUUAAACUUCUUACUAAUAGUUCUACACUCAUCAAAUAAUUUGUGAAAAGCGAUAGAAAGUUCAUCGAAAGAUAAAUCUUUAUUAAUUAAAUCCAUUAGCGCAAAGUUUGCCUCCUCUUUAUUGUUAGCUUCUUCACUUUCUGAAUCACUUGAAUCGUCCCAAGUCGCUUUUAAAGCUUUCUUCUUCUUUGAUUGCUUCUUCUUGGCUUGGGGGCAUUCAUUUUUGAAGUGCCCCGGCUUCUUGCAUUCGUAGCAUAUUACUUGAUCCUUUUUAUGUUCAAGUUUGUUUUUAGUGUUAUUUUUAAAUUUGUUUUUUCUUAUAAAUUUUAAAAAAUUUUGAAUUAAAAGUGCAAUAUCAUCGUCACUGUCCUCAUCACUUAUGUUCUUUUCAAGUGAUCUUCUUGUGAUGUAAGCGCCAUAUCCUUCCUGUUCUUUGGAAGGGGGUUCUCGAGCUCUUCAUGAGCAUGACAUAUCAUUUCGUAGGUCAUUAGAGACCCAAUAAGUUCUUCAAGAGGAAAUGUUUUAAGGUCCUUGGCCUCUUGAAUGACUGUAACUUUUGGAUCCCAACUUUUUUGAAGGGAUCUUAAGAUUUUAGUUACUAGUUCAAAGUUAGAAAAAUCUUUACUAAGAGCUUUGAAUCCAUUGAUGACAUCCGUGAAACGGGUGUAUGUCUCCGAUGGACUCACUUGGUUUCAUUCGAAAAAGUUCAUAAGAGUGCACAAGAAUGUUGAUUUUGGACUCUUUCACUCGGCUAGUGCCUUCAUGAGUGACCUCUAAGAGUUCUCCAAAUAUCAAAAGUCGAAUCACAAAUUGAAACGCGAUUAAAUUCAUUUUUGUCUAAUGCACAAAAUAAGGCAUUCAUAGCCUUUGUGUUUAAAGCAAAAACCUUCUUCUCUGAUUCAUCCCAUUUGCUCAUCGAAAGAGAAGAUUUUUUAAAUCCAUUUUUGACAAUAGUCCAAAGCUCAAAAUCCAUGGAAAUGAGGAAGAUCCUCGUACGAGUCUUCCAAUACAUAUAAUCCGACCUAUUAAAUAUAGGUGGACGUGUAAUAGAAUGACCCUCAUGCAUGCCGAAGUAAGUCAUCUCUCUUUGGUAUUAAAUCAAAUAUGAGAGUGAGCCUAGCUCUGAUACCAAUUGUUAGGAUCGGAGUGGCACUAAGAGGGGGGGGGGGGGGGGUGAAUUAGUGUAGCAGAUUAAAACUUGUAAGUUUAAAAAUGAAUUUGUAAAUACGAGAAGAUUUUGUUUCGAUAGUAACUUGAGUAGAUGAAAAUUGAAAGUUAGCAGUAGUGUAAAUAACAAUUUCAGGAAAGUAAGAACUCACACAUUUAAGGAACACACCAAUUUAAAGUGGUUCGAUCAAAAUGACCUACAUCCACUUGUGAAGCCUUCUUCGAAGAGGCUCCCAACUUCCACUAGCAAAUCACUUUGAAGGGGAAGGACAAAUAUCCCUCUUACAACCUUUUACAGUGGUUCACACUCUUACAAAUUUUCAACGAGAAAGAAGGAGGUGAACACUCAAGCAUUUGAAAAUAAGACUUGCUAAAGACUUUGCUAAGGCUUUUUUUUUUUCAAUCUAUUGCUUCUCAAAAGUUGUAUUCUCUGUUGAGAAUUGAGGGGUAUUUAUAGACCCUAAGAGGAUUCAAAUUUGGGCUCCAAAUUUUGAAUUCUCUUGGCUUCCCGAUGCUGGCGGUGCCACCGCCUGUCAGUGUCUGAGACUGACAGUGUACUGGCGGUGCCACCGCCCAGUCCAGCGGUGCCACCGCCCAGUCCGGCGGUGCCACCAUCCAGUCUAGCGGUGCCACCACCGGACCUCUCGGGUGCUAGGCGGUGCCACUACCCAGUCCGGCGGUUCCACCGCCCGACCUUAUCGGUCAUUGGUUGGGCUUCAAAUCCGGCCCAAACCAAGUCAUAUUCGGGCCCAAUUGGCCCCUAACCAGGAUAUAGGAUUAUCCCUUAAUCCUAACCCUAAUUACAUGAACACUACGCAACUGAAAAUAUAGUCCUAAGCAAGUUUUUAACCGGCAAACGUCGAGUCUCCUUCCGGUGAGCUUUCUAGUGAUCUUCUGGCAAACUUCUGAUACACCCUCAGAUUUCUUCCAGCGGACUCCCAAUAGGCUCCCGAUCUUAUGGCGAGUUUAGUGAGUAGCUGAGCCUUCUCGGUGAUCUCCGCGAACCUCUGACGAUUUCUUUAGCAGACUUCCAAAAGUCCUCGAUUUCUUCUUGGUUGGUUCUGACAGCAUCUCCGACGAAUCUUCGGAUUCUUGAACACCCAUCGAACUUGACUCCGGUAUCUUUGCUUUAUGUUUUCAAGCUAUCGUAGUUAAUCCUGCACACUUAACUCGAUAAUAUAGAUUAGAUCAAUUAAUUCAUUAAUUGAUUUCAUCAUCAAAAUCCGAGAUUCAAUAUCAUCAAAUACGAGUAUGCGAAGAAGACAUUCCAAAAACCUCCUUUCGAACACACAAUGGCCACUAUAAAUUUUUGGUAAUGCCCUUUGGUCUCACCAAUGCUCCCUCCACCUUCCAGAGCCUUAUAAAUAAUAUUUUCUAGAAUUAUCUUUGUAAGUUUGUGCUAAUUUUCUUCGUCGAUAUCCUUAUUUACAGCCCUUCUCUUGAAAGUCAUUUUUAGCACUUACGACUUAUUUUGACGAUUUUGUGAGAACAUGUUCUUUUUGUCAAAAAAUCGAAGUACAACUUUCUUCAAUAGAAGGUGGAAUAUCUUAGGCAUAUCAUAUCAGAGGAAGGUGUAUCGAUGGACCCCUCUAAAAUUGAAGCAAUGCAGAACUGGCCGACCCCGAGGAACAUAAAAUCGCUACACGACUUUCUCGGUUUAACAAGCUAUUACCGUAAGUUCGUGAAAAACUAUAGAAAUAUCAGUGCACCCUUUACUUUGUUACUAAAAAAAUAUGCUUUCCAAUGGUUGGACAAAGCCACCAUCACCUUCGAUGAACUUAAAGCCGCAAUGACAACAACGCCCGUACUAGCGCUGCCCAACUUCGGCAAGACUUUUGUAUUGAAGUUGAUGCCUCUGGAGUCGGAAUUGGUAUUGUACUAAUGCAAGAUGCUCACCCCCUCACUUAUACUAGUAAGGCGUUAUCUCAUUCCCAUCUCAAGAUGACUAUUUACGAUAAAAAGAUGCUUGCGAUUGUGCAUACGAUGGCCAAAUGGAGAUCGUACUUAAUUGGGUGAUGCUUUCAAAUCAAGACCGACCAUAAAAGCCUAAAAUAUUCCUUAGAGCAGAAGAUAUCUACCCCCGAGCAGCAAAAAUAGAUAACAAAGCUUCUUGGAUAUGAUUAUGAAAUAACUUACAAAAGGGGAAAGAGAAUGCUAUUGCAAAUGUGCUUUCACAACUAUCCGAGCAAGUUGAUUUUUCGGUCGUUUUACUUCCGACUAGCGACUUCCUUGAAGAUAUUAAAAGGGAAUGGUAGGAAGAUCCGAAAACUAGUAAGAUCAUAAAAAAAUUGGAGAAAGCACCAUGCUUCGUGGCUCAUUACAGUUGGGACUCAAAAUAAUUGUGCUAUAAGGGACGCAUUGUACUUACGCCAAAUUCUACUUGCAUAAAGACAAUCCUUUAAGAGAUACAUUCCACAUCUAUGGCCAGGCACUCCGGGUUCCUUAGAACCUAUAAGAGAAUUAUGCAAAUUUUUUAUUGGGAAAGGAUGAAAAAUAUUAUUGCUAUAUUUAUGGCACAAUAUGAUGUAUGUCAAAGACAUAAAGGCGAGACAGUGGCAAGACCCGGAAAGCUGUAAUCCUUACUUGUCUCAGACUUAAUAUGGACUGAUAUAUCAAUGGACUUCAUCGAAGGGCUUCCCUCAUCACAAGGAAAAGCUCAAGCAAGGAUGAAAAAGUAAUAUAAUCAACACAAAGGCGAAAGAUAAUUUUCAAUAGGAGAUUGGGUCUUCUUAUAGCUCCAGCCAUACAAGCAAACAUCAAUCCAUACCAGAGCAUCUAUAAAGCUUUCACCUCGGUUCUAUAGACCUUAUAAAAUUCUAGAGUGCAUCGGAGUGGUAGCAUACAAAUUGGACUUAGCCGCCAGCUCCCGAAUUCAUCCAGUCUUCCAUGUGUGAUGUUUAAAGCUCAAGCUGGGAUAAAAUGAGACAACCCAAAGCUAUCUACCAAGUAUGACUAUCCAAGGAGGACUUCAGACCUAACCGAGUGUCAUUAUUAAUCAACGGAUCGUGACUCGACGACGAUGACCCACUAUUGAAAUGCUAAUACAGUGAGUGGACCUACCAGCAGAAGAUGUCACUUGGGAGAACUACAACGACUUGAAGAUCAAAUUCCCAAAAUUCAUAGAUCGUCAGCCUCGAGGACAAGACUGGUUUGAAGAGAGCGGGUCUAUUAGGACUCUAGCUAGGAGAGUCCUAAUAGAGUUUUAUUGAAAGGGGCAUUCAUGUAAAGCCUACAUAGCCGACCCGUAUUAAAGAGGUGAAGAGGUCGGCUAAGGUUAGGGUUAGUUGGGAGGUUGCUUAUUAGAGUAUGAGUCUUAUUAGGAGUUGGUUAGAAGUAGGAGUCUUGAGUAGGAGUCCUAUUAAAUUUGAGAUUUAGAAGCCCUAUAAAUAGUCAUGUAUUCAUCCUCUUUUGACAAGCAAUAGAUGAAUUUUUUUAGCAGCCUUUGAGCAACAACUUGGAAGAAGGAACCCCUAUAGAGUUCCAAGGAGGCUAAUCCCCUAAAGACUAUUGGGAAAUCUUGGGGUGACAUCAUAUGCGCAGCGGAAGAACAAGAAAAUAAAAUCCCUAAUUUCCCAAAAAGAUGUUCGUCGUCGUGCGAAGAUUGGUGCGCAAAAAUCCAUGAAACAAACUGCGUAUAAAAUAAAUUGUGUUACCUAGGGAGAUCGUAUAUCCCUGUUUCCUUGUAGAUCUCUACGAGAUAGUGAAGGAGGUCAAGCGUCCUCCUCUCUAGCAGUAAUCCACACAGUAGGGCUGCGAUGACGCUUCUCAAAACUCCAGGCCUGCUUUGAGGUGGAGAGGGGGAGGAGAAUAUGAGAGGCAAGCAAAGGCUCUAGCCUAUGAACCACUGAAUCCCUCCUAUUUAUAGAGGUCCCCUGUCAAACCCUAAUGGAUCCUCCCCUAGUGGGUAUUGGAUCUGCAUCCAAUUACCCAAGCCUUUUAGAUUAGUAGAUCGCUAUCCAAUAAUCUCUCAUGGGCACUUAUUGGAUCUCAUCCAUGGGAUCCAAUAAUUCAGGGGCUUAUUGGAUAUCCAAUAAGAUAGGGGCUCCGGCGAAUAUCUCAUAUCCGAACCUCUACUCAUCACAAUGCAUACCAUAUGUGUGUGACCCUCUAGGCCCAAUAUCAAGCUGGCCAUGAGUCAUACCUGUCAGAACUCUUUCUAACUUAGUGAAUUAUUAUCUUUAUAAUAAUUCACUUGACUCAUCGAUUACGGACGUACUAGGCCACUACGCCGUAGGCCCAAACGAUACAAGGGAAUCCAAUCCAUUGGACCUAUCUAUCCUCAGUUAUCGUAUACCAAUAGUCCCUCAUCCAUCUAAUAUCCCAGAGACCGUAUAUCAGGUUUGGUGAUCACAGUAUGUAGAGAGACGGUCGAAGGCUUAAUAGUCCCAUUUUAGUUGGGUUUUGUGGCCGCUUUAGGCUUGUAAAUAUAGGUUGUAUCAUGUGGACACUUGUGAGAGAUUUUCGAUCUAUAGUGGACCAAUUUGACCCUUUGUUGUGCAACUAUUCAGAGCUUGUAAAGUUUGUUUGUAAUUUACAUUGUCUAUAAAAUGUUUUUGGAAAUGCUUGCUUAUGGAUCCCGAGUGAGGCGUUUUCUCUAACCCGUUUUCUCUUUUGUGGGUCCUAAAGGACCAUGGGAUGCUUCGGGGAGGCUGACCUUUGCGGAAGGACAUGCAAGGGUGCCACACGACUUAGGCAAAACCAGCUAAGUCUGUGACAGAUGGUAUCAGAGCAGGACAAGCACUCAUAGAAACACUUGGCAUGCAAACGUGGGGGACCUAGCGGAGUUGCGUUGAGGGUAGUCAGCACACGCACGAUCAUUUGGGAGAAAACGGUCAUAGAGAUAUAGGGAAAAGGAGUCGCUCGGAGGAGCGAGCAUCUGAGAUUGGCAUUUAGAGGAAUGGCCAACCCUUCGCGCAAGAGGCACCAUGAGAUCAAGUAAGCUUGGAAGAAUGCGGAGCACACAAAGGUUGGAAUGGCUGAGUUUGAGCUACGGCUCAAUGUUGACAACUAUACUUGAUGGUGCUCAAGGCAAGCGAGGCCCUUGGUAAAGGAUGAGACCAUGAAAGGUGGAAUGAGUUGCUUAGCGACCGAAAGAGUUAUGCAAAGCUCACAGAGGUGAGGGGAAUUGCUAACUCAAAGAAUUCGGUACUCAUGCAUGUGNNNNNNNNNNNNNNNNNNNNCUUGUAUGCGGACGAUGGAAUGUUCGCGGCCAUCCCAAGGCGACCGAAACUCGGCGCCAUGGAGCAUUGAAACUUUCUCUUCGGCAUGUGAAGGAUACGUCUGUAGGAGGCUGAAGUGUGCAAUGAGUUCAGCAUGUUGCUAGACCUUGAGUGGUAUAGCGAGGGUUGUAUUGACGUGGAAUCGUAAUCUAGCAAAUGCAUUUACAGGAGACAGAACAAUGCAUAGUUUAUUCAGCAAAUUGGAGUAGUCCAAGGGGAUGGUGGUCUCCGUAAUGAAGAGAGAUGUUGCUCCAAUGGGACAGUUAUCCAGGAGGGAUAGAUCCCGGUUUCUCUAGAGGGAAAAUCAUGUGCAAUAGACCGCAUAUGUUGAGGAGGAGUACCUUAACAAACAACAACUCCACGAAGCUCAAUGGAUGAAGCAAGUGGCGAGGAGUCAUCACAUGAUCUCGCUUGAGAGAAUGCAUUGAUGGAUGCAUUUCGAGAUCAAGUGGGGAAGUGACGCAAAGCAAUAUAAAUGAAGGCACACUUAGAGUCGAUAUGGAGAUUGGACUUAAGAGAGGGCUGACCCGUGGAAUGGUGGGCGCGAGGGCUACCAUCAACUCAAUGCAAAAACGAGGAGCGGAGCAACUUGGGUGUAACUUGGUGAAGUACCCAAGUCGCAUAAAAGGAGCCAGCAUAGAAGAUGGAACAUGGAGCGGAGGCACAGUACUUUCCUUGGACAGAGGUCAAGGACAUGAACUCUUGCAGAGGCAAAAGAAGGAUCAUGUUGUUCCAAGGGUCCUUUAUUCUGAUGGAGCGGACUCAUCUUGCAUGGUGCCAAAGACGAAGGGAGCUUAUGGGCAUAUACACCUUAUCUCAGAGAAGCAUUUGAUGGAGGAACUAAGGCGACUCAACUUACGGAGGUGAAGUUGGGUUCACAAGGCCUUGGCACGGGGCAAGAGGACGCGGAGGCGGGUACUCUUGAAGAAUAUGCCACAAUGUUGCCAUUCAAGUUGCCAUGAAGGAAGCGGUGCAUAAUAGAGAUUGUGCUGGUAGGGGCAAAGGCCCAAGAUCCGGACAAUGGUGCACCAUUUUCAGUGAAGUCGGUAGACUUUGGGAGCUACUAGGCGACAGACUGUCCUAGAUCGGUGCUUCAUCUAGGUGUGACACAAGAGUGGGUGGAUGAAGGUCGAUUGCCAAAGGAACGAACAAAAUCGAAGGUGGAAGAGACCCUACGAUGUAUUGGCAAAGGCCACACAUGGAGGGAUCACAAUUCGAGUUUGUCCCACAAGGAUCAGAAUAUAAUGGAGAUGUCACCAGGAGGCGACAUGGUAUAGCGGAUCGUGGUGGAACAGUUCGUGGCAAUACGAUACACACGACAUAGUCCCAUGAGGGACUAGAUCAUACAGAGGUAUGAUUGGGAGCUACUGGAAGCUCCACUUUAGUGAACAACAUGAUGGCAAGAAGGGCUAUGGAUUCAAUGAGUGAAGGCCAUGGUACCGUAGAGGUGGGUCUUCCGUGCAUGCAUCAAAUUUUGCAUCGGAUGAAAGCCUUAGUCAUCAGCAUAUGGGGGCUGUGUUCCACUAAGGGAAAAGUUCGAAUGCAAGUACCAGUGAGUCCCAUGGGAGGGACUUGAUCAUGCAGAGGUAUGAUCGAAGCAGUUGGAGAGUUUGGACUGCUCUAGAGCCCAUUUUUGCUUAAGGGAGCCCGACAAGUCAGAGGACAAGGUCGAGUAAGCAAACGUUGCUUUCAAGGAAGCUAAGGAGAACAAAAUCGAUGCAAAUCCUACAACGUGAUGGCAGAGGCCAUGCAUGGGAGUUGUAGUUAGCCUCUCCAUCGACCAAAGAUAGCUGCUUGGAGAACAUAGAGGUGUUGAAGCAAGGGGUCGAAAGGGGCGAGGAAGCGACGACGAGUCUAGAGGGACUUAGAUACCCAAAAUCAAGCAUCAGUUAGAAUAGAGGUGGACUCGAAGAGUCCCACAGAGACAUAUCUACUAAUCGUGAAGAAAAGGGAUGUAGAUACGAAGCGAUGGAUAGUAGGGCCAUGGGCAUGGCAGCACUAUGGUACCAUAGAGGUGGGACUUCCGCGAAAGUCAUUGAUCCCUUGCUCUCAUGGAGGGAGAGCGCUUGGUCGUGAAAGGGGCCGAGGAGGUGGAGCAUGCAGAGGCAAACUCCAAAUACCGAGACAAGGCUGAAGGGCAAAGGCCAAGGAACUUCGUAAGACCGAUGUCAACGAGCUUCUCAUCAAUAUAGCUAAAAGUGAAGGACUUCGGGUCAUGCAAGAGUGCACGACCAAGGAAUGAAGCAUGCAAUAUGCGGUGUUGUACCUUUGCUACUCAGUGGAGUAGGCGGCCGAGUUGAUGGAGAAGACGGUACAAUCCCAGAGGUGACCAAAACUAUUAGAGACUUACUCUAAGUUGGGGUGAAAACUUCUUGCAUUCCAGAAGUUCGAUGGCAUUGAGAAAGUGAAUCAUAGUAGCUAACUCAAUGCAAGGAGUACAAACACUUCAAGUGCUUCAAAAGUGUGAGCAAAGAGUAGGCGAAGGCCAGUAACUAGCUCGAUGCAUGGAGUACAAUCUCGAGGAGGCGGGCGAAGUCAAGUAACCUUUGCUAUCUUAACUUUUAAGAGACUGGGCAAAACCGAGUACCCCAAUUCUCUUAUCUAUCCAGUAGAGGAGCUUUUCAUAAGUUCAAAGACCCUUCGAAGAUAAUAGAAGACAAUGGUUGUCAAAUCUUCACUGAUGGUGAUCAAUGCUACUAAGAGUAGACUAUCUGCUUUAUUUUCCAACAGAAUGCCAAUCGAAAGCGGAAGUGAUGCAAAUCUACUUGGAAGUGACAGCUAAAUGAAAAAAGAGUCGAUGGACAUUUUGUGGAGAAAGGACCCAAAACUUUAAAAGUUUACGAGGCGAUACUCGUUAAAGCUCCAACAAGCAUCCACCCAGUUCAAUUAGUAUGUGGUAUUUGAGAGACUAGCAUAUAGUAAGGAUGGUCUUUUCCUUCAUCUAGAGGAUCCGUAAAAAUCAACAAGGAUCAACACAACUCAGCCAACCCUACACUAGAGUCAAAGUCAUUGGCGAGUUGAAAUAGCAUAGCGGAUCAAAAGUUUGACUACUCAACAACAGCAGCGAAGAGCAAUUGGGAGCCAAGAGGCGCAUUGCAGCUGGAGCAGAAAAUUGAAGACUCAGCAAAGGCGAGGAGUUGCAGUGUCGGCAAAAGGCUUCGACGAGGACAUCGAAGGAAUAAGUAGGGGAGAAUGUCAUGGAUAAACUUUUAAAUAGGAUGUUUGAUGUAAUGCUUAUGUAUGUCCAUGUCUUUUGGUAUGUUCAUGCUUUGCACAGCAUAUAGAGGGACUGUUGAAGGCUUAAUAGUCUCAUUUUAGUUAGGUUUGGUGGUCGCUUUAGGCUUAUAAAUAAAUGUUAUAUUAUAUGGACACUUGUAAGAGAUUUUCGGUCUAUAGUGGAUCAUUUUGACCCUUUGUUGUGCAACUAUUCAGAGCUUAUAAAGUCUGUUUAUAAUUUGCAUUAUCUAUGAAGUGUUUUCAUAAAUAUUUGCUUAUGGAUCCCGAGUGAGACAUUUUCUUUAACCUCUUUUCUCUUUUGUGGGUCCUAAGGGACCAUGGGAGGCUUCGAGGAGGCUUCGGGGAGGCUGACCUUUGCGGAUGAAUACGUAAGGGUGCCGCACAACUUAGGCAAAACCAGCUAAGUUCGUGACAGCAUGGUGCUGUCAGACCCAUAUGGUUUCUUCUCGAGUCUUGCUCUAAUCGGAUUCUCCUGGAGAACUCUUUCUCUCUUAAUCCGAAUGACCCUGGCCAAGGAUUUGUUUGAGCAAGAACACAUGGGAUAUUCCUCUCAUAAUGUCGAGAGUGGAUGAUCCUCUAUCGACACUCAAUAGCCCUCGUAAAGUCAACUACCACUCUAAAUGACCAGUUAUACUAGAUCUGGGACAUCCAAACCUAUAAGUCUGGUAUCAAAGAGUGAAGCACUCAUACAAGACAUCUUUAUUGUCUCAAGUCUAAGGACCAGAUACACCACUAGGACUACGAAAUCACUAUCUGACAAUAAGGCAUCAAUCAAUGAACUCAUUCUCCAAUGAGCAUAUGUACUGUAUCUCUAGUGUCCCCAUACGAGCAACUAUGAGACCAACUACAUCCAUCAUGUAGAUGGGUAUACAGCACACCAGUCUGUUUGGUUAUCACGAUAUCCCUCUCGAGUAAUCUAUGAUUGAGAUUAUUUAGGAUCUGUGUUUAAAGGUAAAUUGCUCUUAUUAUCGUGAUCUCAUCACGAUCCGAUUCCCAUUGCACAGAUCCAAGGAUAUCAUAAUAUAUACAUGUAUAUAUGCAAUAGUUAAUAUAAAGUGAUAAAUGCCAAAAUAUAAUAAGCAAAAAGAUUCUGUGUCAAGUCACACGUGCUAUCACUCACAUGAUUGGCUUGUUGGGCACCUAUGACUAGCAAAGACAUCAACCCCAAGCUUAGAAUCUGCUAGGGUACUAUCAGUCACACAUAUGGUAGGUGUUGUGAUGAGUAGAGAUUCGGAUAUGAGAUAUCCGUCGGAGCCCUUAUCUUAUUAGAUAUUCAAUAAACCCUUAAAUUAUUGGAUCCUAUCGAUGAAAUCUAGUAAGAGUCAAAGAGAGAUUAUUGAGUAGAGACCCACUAAUCUAAGAGGCUUAGGUAGUUGGAUGGAGAUCUAGUAUAAAAAAAGGUAAGAUCUAUUAGGGUUACGUUGAUAGGAGACCUCUAUAAAUAGGAGGAAACCAAAAGGCCAUGGACUAGGCUUUUUGGCUGCUACAUCAUAUUCUCCUCUCUCCCUCUCCUCCUCAGCCAGUAGCACUUGCUUAGGGCAUGUGGACAAAAAGAAGGGGCAACCCUUUCUUGAUUACAUGGUGCGCACGAAGAGGAGAUUUAGGUAGCGAUUUAAGUAGCAUCUUCGUAGCCCCUGGCAUGUAGAUUACCGCUAGAGAGGAGGAUAGUUGACUUCCUUCAUUCUCACCCAGAGAUUUGUAGGAAUUCAUUGAUAUAUAAUAUCCCUAGGUAACACAAUCUUCCUUAUACGUGUAGUUUUUCUAUUUUGCUCGUUUUUAGCACCAAUCUUCACACAAUGAUGAAACCCUUUUGUGGAAAUAUAGGAUUUUUGUUUCAUUUCUUCUACUGUGCAUGUGAUAUCGCCCUUAGUUUUCCCAACAGUUGCAUCAGAGUUGGAUUGCUCAUGCAAAAGAUUGGUUUUUAAAUUAUGUGUGUUAUGUUCAGUCGCGUAGAAUUAUUUUACGUGAAUGCUGCGAUUUUUUUAUUAUAGUUUUUAAAUAUAUACUGCUCAUUUUCUACUAUUAAGAGGUGUUUUAGAGUGAGCUUUUGAUAUCAAAUUCGUUGACACAAAAGGGGAAGAGGGGGCAACAACUAUUGUUGCCCUUUGUAUUGGCCAAAGGCAACUUGCAACCUUGGCUGAGAGCACCACCUACUAGUUAUAGGUGCUUUGCAAGACAAUCACAAGAAUGAUGAUACGUGUAACAUAAUAUGCACUCUUUUUACUUAUUAUAUUAUUUGAUAUUUUUAUCACUUUACAUUACUUGUUGAGAGAAAAAUUUAGUCAUCUAAAUUUGUCGUACUUCCUUUGACGAAAAGAUGAGAUCAAGAUUGCAUCUAGAUAGAGGUCAUCAACGUCAUUGAGUCUUACCCUUUUCUUUAUAGCAUUCAAAUCAAAAUUUUCUUCUAAUAACUUUUAUUGUUUCACAACCAGUCUAGCUAUAAAACUUAUAGAUUUUCUACUAUGUGCAUCAACUACAAUAUUGGCUUUACUCAGGUGACAACAGAUAGUACAAUCAUAAUCCUCUAGAAGUUUUAUCUAUCUCUAUUGCCUCAUAUUUAACUCUUUAUGAAUAAAAAUAUACUUUAAACUCUUGUGAUCAGUAAAGACUUCAAAUAUUCGCCCAUACAAGUAAUGCCUCUAAAUCUUUAGAGCAAAAAUAAAUGCUAUCAAUUCUAAAUCAUAAGUUGGAUAAUUCAGUUCACAACUCUUUAGUUGUCUAGAAGCAUAAGUAAUCACUUUCUUUUUCUUACAUCGAAAUACAUUCAAUGCCCUUUCUUGAAGCAUCAGUAUAAACUACAAAUCCCUCAUUACUACUUGGAAUAGUGAGAAUAGGGGCACUGUUCAAACCAAAAGGUAUUACUAAAAAUUCAUAGUGAUCAUAUCAAAUUCUAAAAGCUGGUUGUGGGAUAUCCUCCUUCUUGAUCUUUAAUUGAUAAUAACCUGACUUCAUAUCAAUAUUGGAGAAUACUUGUGCACCUUGUAAUUAAUCCAACAAACCAUUAAUUCUAGGUAGGGGAUACUUCUCCUUCUUUUUUUUUUGGGUCACCUGAUUCAACUAUCUGUAAUCAAUACUUGCAUAAUAGGAAGAUAGUCAAUUCAUGCUAAGUAUAAUAUCAAAACCCCAUAUCUCUAGGAGAAUCAAGUCAGGAAGGAGUUCGUGUUCUCCGAUAGAAAUCAAACAAGAUGGAUAAACUAAGUUUGUAGUCAAAAAAUUUCCAACAACAGUAGUUACAUAUAAUAUAUAAUUUAUUGCUCUAGGUUAAAUGCCCAAGUAAUAAGCAAAAUAUUAUGAAACAAAAGGUAAGUUGGAACUAGGAACAAACAAAACUUUUUAUAUUUUAUCAGAAAUAUUAAUAGUACCUUCGACCACAGAUUUAGAAGCUUUAGAAUCUUAUUCAAUGAUAGCAUAUACCUUAGCAUAGGCUGAUGGUCUAGGAGGCAAUGACUUUUUCUUCUUCUUUUGAGUCUCAAAUCUAGAUACAUUUACCCUCUUGUUUCUUAUUUCAGAUUCAUUCCCUCUCUAACUUUUAUUGAUAAACUUGUCCUUAUAUUUCUUACCCCUAAUUUUCUGAAUUUCCUCUAAGUCUCUUUCAAUUAUCAAAGCCCUUUCUACCACAUCAGCAUAUGCUUGGAAUUUUAAGGCUGAUAUCCAACUUCUUAUUGUUGGCCUUAGGCCCCUUUCAAAUUUUUUUGCUUUCCUACUUUCAUCAUCGGUUAUAUGAGGGGUAAAUCUAGAGAGUUCAGUGAAUUUAGAUUUAUAUUUUGCUACUAUCAAGUUUCUCCGGAUAAGAUUUAAGAACUCCAAUUCUUUCUACUCUCUAAUGCAAUCUGGGAAAUAUUUAUCAUUGAACUUUUCUACGAAUACCUUCUAUGUGAUUGGCUCAUGUUUGACUUUAGAAAUCCUUUUUAUCGUUCUCUACCAGUGCUCAGUCUCUCCUUCUAACAUAAAGGCAACAAGAGAAACCUUCUGAUCACUAGAGUAAUUUAAGAUGUUAAAUAUUUUCUCUAUCUGCAUCAUCCAUCGUUUUGCUAACAUUAGAUCAGGCUCAUUACUAAAACUGAGAGGACUAAGCUCCUUAACAUAUCUCAUUCCUAGUCCAUUCUAAUUUGAUAUCCCCGACCCACACUUUCAUCUCACUCAAUUACUCAAAAAAAAAAUGAAGCAAAAAGACCAAAUGUCCUCUGACAUCAUAGAUUCCUAAAAGACAUCAAAGCAAUUUAUCACCGAUCACUAUAGUUUACUAUACCUUAAUAUAUUUUGCACAUCAAACAUAUUAAAUAUCUCAGUGAUCCUCAAAUCAUGCUCUGAAACCACAUCUAUCAUGCCCCCCCGAAUUAUAACAUUCAGGAGGUGUGAACCUAUCUUAAAAUCGAUAAAAUUAUAAUUAAACAAUAAUCCAGGAUCUAAACAUACAUUUGAGGCCACUAAAAGAACAUUCAAGUCAAAAUUCCUUCCAUAAUCUAUAAUUCAUAAAACCUGUAUAGUUUAAAAUCAUAUACCAUAUCACUCGAUGAAUCAUAAAAUCAGAAGCUAACUCACCAAGACAAUAACCACAUUAUAAAUCCACAAGUGUGGUAUUCUAUAGAAUGACAAAAACCAAUAUUUAUUACAUGUUCAUAUCAUUACACAAAUUAAACUUAACACUUCAAAAUCCUAAACAUGAGAGGUCCUUUAAACUUUUACAAAACUCAUAAGUUCAUAUUUACCAUCAACAUUUCAUUAGAGACUAAGUGUACUUAUACAACAAAAACAUAUCAUCCACUAAAGGUUUGCCCCAAAAUUUUUUAGCUUUCCACUACUUCAGCCCAAUUUAAACAUUUUAGCGAGUGACAAGCUAUUCUGAAAAAUUUAUACAGCAACGGAGUGAGCAUAUAAAGAUCAGCAAGCGACUAAAAUAUCCAUGGCAAAAAAGGACAAUUUCAAACAAAUAAGAUACCGAAUACAAGGUAGGGAUAUAAGAGUUUAUAGAUAGCUACUCAACGAAUGCAGAAUUACAAUAUAAUUUCAUUUGAAGCAUGUUUUGUUCAUAACAAGGGAGUAAAGAUUAAUUGGAGCAUAUCAAUCAUGUAAGGAGCAUUUUGGAUAUCAAUGGCAUAUAAAAAUAUUUCAGAAUAUAUCAAUGACAUAUAAAAAAUUUUAAAGCAUAUCAAUGGCAUAUAAAAUAUUUCGGAGUAUAUCAAUGGCAUAUGAAAUAUUUCAGAGCAUAUCAAUGACAGAUGAAAUAAUUCGGAGCAUAUCAAUGGCAUAUGAAAUGUUUCGGAGUAUAUCAAUGACGUAUGAAAUGUUUCGAAACAUAUCAAUGGUAGAUGAAAUAUUUCAAAGCAUAUUAAUGGCAUAUGAAUUGUUUCAGAAUAUAUUAGUGGUAUAUGAAACAUUUCGGAGCAUAUCAAUAAUGUAUGAAAUGUUUCGGAGCAUAUCAAUAGCAUAUGAAACAUUUCUGAGCAUAUAAAUAGCGGAUAAAAUAUUUCAGAGCAUAUCAAUAGCGUAUGAAAUGUUUCAGAACAUAUCAAUGGUAUAUGAAAUAUUUCUGAGCAUAUCAAUAACAAAGAUAAAACAGAAGCUCAAAUGUCGUAUUUGAUGUUGUAUAAAUUUCAUUUUUAUCCAAGCAUACAUAGAAGCAUAUAACCAAAUCUUUGGAUAUCAUAUCAAACACAUAGAAGGUAAAGUAGGAUCUCAAAUAUAAUCUUUAUAUUUGGGAGCGUCAUCCAUCCACGUUUGGAUGAAGCCAAAGGGGUCCGAUAGAGCAUCGCAGGCUCUAAGCAUACAUCAUUUAUCAUUUCUGGCAAAGGUCUAGAUAAUUCCUUUAUCAUUUCUGGCAAAGGUCUUUAUAAUCCCACAAACACUAGAGUAAAAUAGAGUAUUUUGAAUAAUAAAAUUGGCAUAUAUCGAAAACACAUGUGAAACAACGGAAUGCAUAUACCUAUACGAAACAUUGCAAUACACACAUAAACUUUACAUAAUAGAUUCGGGUAUGUAAAUAAUUGAAGGAAAGAGUAUACAGGAUUUUAAAGCAUUAAUGUAAAGCUCAACUGAAGCAAGGAUUUUAGCAUAAAUCAAUUUCCAAAGAGAUGAAACAAGAAUAGGUGAAAUCGACCAAAGCUCGAUUCUAAUAGAAUUUGAGAGACAUAUUAUAUGAAUUAUUUGGAUAACUAAUUAUACUCCAAUUUAUACAAAUUAGGUGUCAUUCAAAAUAUGUAUUAAUAUAGUUUUAGAUAAAUCAAGCUUUGUAUGAAUUGGAGUUUCGAACAAGGAGUUAUAAACAGUUUAGUAACCAAAGGUCAUAUAACAUUAUCUCUGUUUUGCAUAAUUCAUAGAGUUGAUUAGAAUAGAUAUUUCAAUAGGCAUUUAUACUCUAAAUAUUUCAAAUUAAAUAUACACAAACAGAGUUAUGAGUUCUAAUAUAUUAUGGUUUGCAUAAAUCAGAGGUUCCAAUAGAGAGUUAUAAGCAAGAGAGUACUGAAAGGUAAGAAUCAACGGUCUCUAUUUUAUAUAUUUCAUAGGGUCAGUUGAAAUAAUAUUUUGGGUAGGUAAUUGGACUCCAAAUUUAUCAAUCAUAGUAUUAAAAGAAAGAGCUAUGAGUCUAUUUUUGGAUAAAUUUUAUUUUUUCUAAAUUAAAAAUUGGUGCAGAAAGUUAUGACUAGAAUAAUGCAAAAAGGUCAAAUCUCAAAACAAUUCAGAUUCAUAGUUUUAUUCUCAAACGACAGAAAUAUCAUGUAUGAAGCCAAAAUCUUCCAAAUUUUUCAGAAUUAAGAUGAAAUCAGAAAUCAAAAUUACUAUAAGAAAUGGUUAAAAUACUUGCCUUAGAAAAAUAUGAUUCUUAAAUAUGGGGAAUUGAUGCAAAACCUCAAGCCAAAGCAAAGUUUCUUCUUCUUAAAUUCAAUUCCUCUUCCCUUCUCUUCUCAAGCCUAUACUAGUUGCAGCUCUUUUAUUAAGUUCUCUUUUAGUUUCUCCUCUAAUUGCAUUAGGUUUGACUAAUAUAAGGAUUACAAGGUAACAAGCAUGCAUGAAAAAAGCUUAUGUGUUAUCCAUAGAACAAACAUAGGUGGCACCAUCCUUAGGUUAGCUAGUGACACAUGUCCUCCAUUUUUUUUAACUUAAUUUGAAUCAUUCAUAAAUCAUAUCUAAUUUUUAAGAUUUAUAUUUAGCUCCCUACAUUACAAACAAACCUUUACAAAAUUUUUAAAAAUUAAGGAUGUUACAUGUGGAUAGUAAGAAGGGGCACCCCCUUCUUGAUUGCUUAGUACAUACUGCAAUGAGGAUUAUGUAUUGAUUUGAGGAGCAUAUUUGCAACCUCUAUUAUGUGGAUUAUCAUUAGAAAGGAGGACCGUUGACCUCUUUCAUCCUCUACUAUAGAUCUGUAGGAAUUCAAUGAUAUAUGAUCUCUCUAGGUAACACAAUCUCCCUUGUAUGCGUAGUUUUUAGUUUUGUGGGUUUUAGCGCGAUAAUCUUUGCACAACGAUGAAACCUUAUUUUUUGUGAGAAAUUCUAUGAUUUUAUUUUUUAUUCUUCUACUGCAUAUGUGAUGUCACUCCAAAUUUUCCAACAGUGGUAUCAAAGCCAAGUUGCUCGUGCAAAAGAUUGGUUUUUAAACUACGUGUAUUGUGUUCAAUCACAUGGAAUUGUUUUGUGCAAUUGCUACAAUUUUUUUUGUCGUAGUUUUCAAAUCUGUGUUGCACAUUUUUUUGCUAUUAAGAGAUAUUUUAGAUAGGACUUUUGAUGUCAAAUUUGUUGACACAAAAGGGAAAGAAAGGGUAGGAACUAUUGCUACCCCUUUGAAUUGGUCGGAGGCUACUUGUAGCCUUGGCUAAGAGCACAACUUGCUGCUCUCGGCCUGGCCAAAAGCAGCAGGGUCGAGAACAGCAAUGGUGCUCUCAACUUGCUGCAUGGUAGCCCUUGCAGCCAGGUUUCCUAGCUGCAUGGUGCACCCCUAGCGACCAAGGUUUCCUAGCCGCAGGGGUUGUCCUAACAACCAGGACUCCUGGCCGCAUGGGGCAAGCAGGCAGCCAGUUCUUGGCCACCCAAGGCUACCCUACGGUCAAUAUUUCUUGGCUGCAAAGGACUCCUUGGUGGUUAGGGUUUCCUAGCCACACAAAGCAACCAUAAGACCUAGGAUUCCUAGCCACAGGGGAGUCCCUAGUGGUUAAGAUUUCCUAGCCACAUAAAGGACUACCUAUCAUAUGGGGGCACCCUAUGGUAGGGUUCCCAAAAUACUAUAGAAUAAUUAAUUAAAUUAAUUAAUUAAUUAUUAUUAUCUAUUAGUCCUACAUGGUGAUGUGUGAUGUAGAUGGAUGAUCAUGCACUAUAUGAUGUAUGUACAUGUGAUGUAAUUAUUAUUAUUAUUUGGGCCUAAGAGCCUCCAAUUUUUUUUCUCGUUUACUGUUGGGCUUACAUGCUUGUGAUUAAGUUAUAAUUAUUGCUAGUCAUAGGUGUCCUACAAGUCAAUCACAUGAGUGAUGACACGUGUGACAUGACACACUUUUUUUGCUUAUUAUAUAUUGACAUUUUUGUUAGGAAUGAGUCGACAUUAAGAGGGAGGGGUGAAUUAGUGCAGCGGGAAAAUCAUGGAUUCAAAUCGUUUCGUUUUGAUUAAAACCAAUUCCAACGAAAACCAUUUCGUAAAGAUCUUAACUUGAAACACAUUCGUAAAUGUAUUGAAAGCAAUAAGCAAGUAAAGUGGUUUGCAGUUAAAGUAAAUUGCUCAAGACAAAACGCAAAGUAAAUUUUUAUAGUGGUUCGAUCGUCGUGACCUACAUCAACUCCACCGAUUCCUCUUCCGUCGAGGCCACUGACAUCCACUAUCGGUCUUCCUUCAAUAAGCGAAGACCAACCACCUUUUACAAUUCGAUUCUCCUUUUACUGGGUUUAGGAGAUAACCUUUACACCCCCACUAACUCCUCUCUCAAACUAUUCUAACACUUAGAACUUUGAGAGGAGUUUCACACAUAAUUGCAAUAGAGUUUUCUUCUUUUUUUUUUGCUCUCAAUUGUGUGUUUUUUAACCAAGGAUGAGAGAGGUAUUUAUAGGCUUUAAGUUGAUUCAAACUUGGAGCUUAAAAAAUCUCAUCCUGGGUCUCCUGGGUACGGGCAGUAUCACCGCCUGUGUUGGGCGGUACCACCACCAGUGUCAGUCUAACAUUAACACUGCACUGGGCGGUACCACCACCUGACACUGAGCGGUAUCACCGCCUGCAGCCUCUCGAAGACUAUGUUUGGGUGGUACCACCGCUUGACACAGUCUCAAAGACUGUGCCACGACGGUGUUACCUUUUGGGUCAUUGUUUGGACCUUUUCAUUAGGCCAAACAUAGUUCAUACAUGGGUCGAACUGGCUUCUAAUUGGGUUGGCCCAAUUCCAAUCCCAAUUAUGUGCUAACUACGAAUUAUAAGACAUUUACUAAGCUAAACAAGUUCGUAGGUCUAGUUUCUUCUAACAAUCUUCCGGCAAACUUCUGACGAACUCUCGACAAUAUUCCAGUGGACUCCCGGCAAGCUCCUGGACUUCAUGACGAUCUUCUUGGCAAGAUCCGAUGAGCUUCUUCGGCAAACUCCUAGACUUUUCAAUUGGUUCCGACAGAACUUCCGACGAACAUACGAACUUUCGACAAACUCUCGAACUUCUAACGAAAUCUCAUUCUUGACUUUGAGACUUCAUUUUACUUUAUGCCUUGCUAUCGUAGUUAAUCCUGCAUACGUAAAACAUACUUUGAUCUAGACAAUUAUUACUAAGCAUGAAUCAUGUUGUCCGGCAUGUCAUUGGUCCAUCGACGUUUCGUCCGAUUCUUCAGUGCAUCAUCCUCUCUUGCGGCCUAUUGCCCAAUUGGCCAAUUGACCUCUGCAACUCUGAUAUCCUUGGUGCAAUCUCCGCUCUUCUUGGCCCGAUGCUCGAACUCAUGACCCGAAGCCUUCUGUCGAUACGUCGACCGAUCCUUCGGCACGACGUACAAUCUUCUGACAUGUUUAUCUGGCCCAACAUGAUUCUUUCUGCUUUAAAUGUCUCUCCCUGAUCGAAGCAUCCUGCAUUACUCAAAACACAUAUCAAAUCAUAAACACUUAUUAAUUGGUUUCAUCAUCAAAAUCUGAGAUUCAACAAUCUCUCCCUUUUUUAUGAUGACAACCAAUUAUUGACGGAGUUUAAACAAACUCCUGGAAUUUAAACAAACUCCCCCUAUCAAUAUGCCAUAUGUGAGAUGAACUCUUGUAUUCAAAAAUCCAAGCAACAUGUUAUCAUAAAACUGAUGCAUAACAUUAUCAUACUUCUUCCGAUUGUCAUCAACAAAAAAGAGAAGUGCAACUAUCAAGUGUUUAAGAUAUAAUGUCAAGUUCAAAUCAUUGCAUAAAAAACAUAAUAUCAAGUUUUAUCAUCAUGUAAUUUAUAAGUUAGAAAAUCUAGCAAGUUUUUCAUCAUGCAAGCUAGUACAUUUUUCAUCAAUUUAUAAUAUGCAUAAUCACCAAAUCAUCAUUAUUUUUAAAGAUGUACAAGAUUGUAAAUUAUGCAAGUUUGCAUUUUUGCUUCUUAAGAUAGGCAAUCUAUCAAUUUUUUGGUGAUGUUCAAGAUAGCAAGCUCUUUCUUCUCCUUUGAGAAGUGUCAUUUUUUCUUUCUUUGCAAAGUGCAAGCUAGUAAAAUUUUACAUUAUUUUAUACAAGCUAGCAAUUUGACAAGUGUUACUUCUCUUUGAAGUACGAAGGCUAGCAAAUUUUUGAAAAAUAAUGCAAUAUAACAAGCUAGCAAGAUAUAAUGUUUUACAUGAAGCAAGCUACAUGAAGUACAUUUGCAUCUUCUCUUUAGAAGUGCUAGCAAACAAGCAAGUUUUUCUCCUUACAAUUUGUAAGCUAGCAAAUUUUACACAUAUGAAAAUUGGCAAGAUUUUUGCAUCUUUUUUAAAUGAGCAAGCUUUUUGCAUCUUUUUUAAAUGAGCAAGCUUUUUGCUUCUUCUUGAAGUAUGCAAGUUAGUUAUCUCCCCCUUUGUCAUUGUCAAAAAGAAGGGAAGAAUAUAAUUUUGUAUCUCUUUUUCCCUUUACAUUAAUUUCUAAACCAUGACAAAGGUAAAUAACAUAGAUGAAAAAUCAAGACAUGAAUGUCAAAAUAAUUUUUUAUCAUGAAUAUUUUAUCAUUGCAUGUAUCAUUAUCAUAAGUUGAAGUAUUACAUGCAUAAUAUAAAAUCAUCAUUCAUAAUUACAUCAAUGUUUCAAUCAUUAUUUCAAUAUGCUUGUGCAUCAUUAUAGUUUCAAUUUACAAUAUGUACAAUUUUAAAACUUUACAUAUCAUCCUUACUCUACGCGUGAUACUAAAAAUAAAUCAAUCAUAAUAUCAUACAUGAUACUCAUAAGCUAGCAAAUUUAUAUCAUUUUAGAGCAUUAAAAUAAUAUCAUGAGUAUUUCAUGCAUUCAUAUCAUCAAUGUUUCAAUCAUUAUUUCAAUCAUCAAAAAUGAAAGAUCAUGUCUAAAAUUCAAGAAAUCAAGAUCAUAAUCCGAAAAAUAUAUAAGAAGAAUUUAUGCAUUUGGGAGAUCUAACAUGUCUAAGUUUAUCAUUCAAGUUAGCAAACUUGGUUCUCUUGAGAUGUUAGCUAUUUUCUUUCCCUCUUUUGUCAUUAUAAACAAGAAAGAAUAAAGAAAGAACAUAAUGGUGUAAAAUAUUUCAAUCAUUUUAAGGCAUACAAGCCAUAAAUAUAAAGAGAUCAUGUCAUGAAAGAUAAGACAACUUAAAAACCAAAAGACAUGAUUCAUAUAGUAAAUCUCUUCUUUAAAUAAAAUAUCAAGUAAAAUUCAUAGGAGUACAAAGAAGAAAUAUUGAUUCAAAAAAUCUCAAGUAAUUCCAAUAAACCAAGAUCAUGAUUUUGAUAAAACUCAUUCAAAUUCAAAUCAUCAAAAUCUCAACAUUUCUUUCAAGAGAUUCAAAAUAGCAUAAAUAAUUUUAUUGGUCUCUUAGUGAAAAAUCGAUAAGAUAGAGAAAAAGAAAAAUUUCAAGAAAAAUGCUUUCCUCCUUUUGUUUCAUACAUUCAUGUUCUUUUCUUUCAAAUCCAUGCAUCAUUCAUUAACACUAAAAAAGAACUUUCAAAAGAUCGCAAAAAUUAUCAUGCAUAAGUUUGAAAUAUAAACUCGUUAAGCAUGCUUUUAAAUCACCAUUAUAUUUUCAUUAAGACUUCAAGCAUGAUUUUAUAAAGUGUUUUCAAUCAAAAGUAAUAUGAAAAUCAUUAAGAUACACAUUAUCAUUAAAACAUCUAGCAUGAUUUAAGUCUAACAUCUUGUUCCUUUAUCAUAACAUAUAUAAUUUUCAUGAUUAUUUUCAAAAUUACUAGAUAAGCAUGAUUCCUAAUUUUUUUUUAUAUUUUUAUUUAUUAAAUAUGUAAUUUUUAAGAAAAAUAAUUAUUCUAAACUAACUUAAGAACAACUCAUGAAAAGCAUUAUGUAAUUUUGAAAUAAAUUAAAGAGUUUUGUUUGAGUUGUUUACCUCAUUGUCGAAUGCCGUUAAGGCGUAGUUUGUCACCUCGCCUUUGUUGAUUUUUUCAUCGUCUUCGGAGUAGCUCGAUUCAUCGCAAAGCGCUUCCCUCUUUUUGCAUUCAUAGCAAGUAGUUGCGUUCUUUUUGUUCUUUAAUUUUUUUUUUAUGAACUUUUUAAAUUUCAUAGUGAUGAGUUCAAGUUCACCAUCACUUGAGCUUAUGCUCGAGUGGUCUUCAAUUAUUCUUAGUUUGAAAUCCUUCCUAUUCUUUGGAAGGUGAUUCUCAAGUUCUUCAUGUGCAUUGCACGUCAUUUUAUAGGUCAUUAGAGACCCGAUAAGUUCUUCGAUCAAAAAAGUAUUCAAAUUUUUUUAUUCUUGAAUAGCCAUUAUUUUUGAAUCCCAAUUUUUAGAAAGCGAUCAUAAAAUCUUGUUAACGAGUUCAAAAUUAGAAAAGUAUUUGACAAAAGCUUUUAAACCAUUUAUGACAUCCGUAAAACGGGUGUAUAUGUCAACAACGGUUUCGCUUGAUUUUAUAUGAAAACAUUCAAAAUCAUGCAUCAAAAAGUUGAUUUUCGAAUCUUUAACUUUGCUAGUGCCAUCAUGUAUGAUUUCAAGAGUAUGCCAAAUUUCGUGCGUAGUUUCGCAAAUAGAAAGACGAUUAAAUUUUUUUUUGUUUAAGGUGCAAAAUAAAGUAUUCAUAGCUUUCGCAUUUAAAGAAAAAGUUUUCUUCUCUGAAUCAUUCCAAUGGUUCAUUGGAAGAGAAGACCUUUGAAAUCUAUUUUCGAGAAUAUUCCAUAAAUUUAAAUCCAAUGAAAGCAAGAAAACUCUCAUUCGAGUUUUUCAAUAUGUGUAGUCUGCCCUAUUGAACAAGGGAGGACGAAUGAGAGAGUAACCCUCUUGAAAGCCGAAAUGAGACAUUUCUCUUAGGUGUUAAACCAAAUGAGAAAUACGAGGCUCUGAUAUCAACUGUUAGGAACGAGUCGGCACUAAGAGCAGGGGGUGAAUUAGUGCAGUGGUAAAAUCACGGAUUCAAAUCAUUUCAUUUCGAUUAAAACCAAUUCCGACGAAAACUGUUUCAUAAAGAUCUUAACUUAAAACACAUUCGUAAAUGUAUUGAAAGCAGUAAGCAAGUAUAAUGGUUUGCAGUUAAAGUAAAUUGCUCAAGACAAAACGUAAACCAGAUUUUUAUAGUAGUUUGAUCAUCGUGACCUACAUCCACUCUACCGAUUCCUCUUCCGUCGAGGCCACCGGCAUCCACUAUCGGUCUUCAUUCAAUAGGCGAAGACCAACCACAUUUUAUAACUUGAUUCUCUUUUUACCGGGUUUAGGAGAUAACCCUUACACCCCCACUCACUCCUCUCUUAAACUAUUCUAACACUUAGAACUUUGAGAGGAGUUUUACACAUAAUUGCAACAGAGUUUUCUUUUUUUUUUUGCUCUCAGUUGUGUGUUUUUUAACUAGGAAUGAAAGGGGUAUUUAUAGGCUUCAAGUUGAUUCAAACUUGGAGCCUAAAAAUAUCUUAUCCGGGUCUCCUGGGUACGGGUGGUACCACCGCUCAAUCUAGCGGUACCACCGCCUGACACUAGGUGGUACUAUCGCCCAGACUAGCGGUACCAUUGCUUGUAACCUCUCGGAGAUUGUGUCUGGGUGAUACCACCGUCUGACAUAGUCUCAGAGACUGUGCCACGACGGUGUUACCUCUUGGGUCACUGUUUGGGUCUUUUCAUUGGGCCUAAUACAAUUCAUACAUGGGCCUAACUAGCCCCUAAUUGGGUUGGCCCAAUUUCAAUCCCAAUUAUAUGCUAACUACGAAUUCUAAGAUAUUUACUAAGCUAAACAAGUUUGUAAGUCUAGUUUCUUCCGACGAGCUUCCAGUGAUCUUCUAGUGAACUUCCGACGAACUCUCGGCAAUGUUCCAGCGAACUCCUGGCAAGCUCCUGGACUUCACGACGAUCUUCUUGGUGAGUUCCGAUGAGCUUCUUUAGCAAGCUCCUGGACUUCUUGAUUGGUUCUGGCAGAACUUCCGAUGAACGUCCAGAUUUCUGACAAACUCUCGAACUCCCAACGAAAUCUCGUUCUCGACUUUGGAACUUCAUUUUGCUUUAUGUAUUACUCUCAUAGUUAAUCCUGCACACGUAAAACACACUUCGAUCUAGACAAUUAUUACUAAGCAUGAAUCAUGUUGUCUGGCAUGUCAUUGGUCCAUCGACGCUUCGUCUGAUUCUUCGGCGCAUCGUCCUCUCUUGCGGCUUAUUGCCCAAUUGGCUAGUUGACCUCUACUACUCUGAUAUCUGCUCUUCUUAGCCCGAUGCUUAAACUCAUGGCCCGAAGCUUUCUAUUGAUACGUCGACCGAUCCUUCGGUGUGACGUCCAAUCUUCUGACAUGUUUCUCCGGCUUAACAUGAUUCUUCCUGCUUUAUAUAUCUCUCCCUAAUCAAAGCAUCCUGCAUCACUCAAAACUCAUAUCAAAUCAUAAACACUUAUCAAUUGGUUUCAUCAUCAAAAUCUGAGAUUCAAUAAUUUUAUCACUUUAUAUUGUAUAUUGCAUGAAUAUAUUGUGAUGUCCAUGGAUCUGUGCAAUGGGAAUCGGAUCAUGAUGAGAUCACGAUAAUGAGACUGAUUCGCCUUUAAACACAGAUCCUAAAUAAUCUCGAUCUUAGGUUACUCGAGAGGAACAUCGAGAUAACCGGACAGACUUGUGUACUGUAUACCCAUACAUAUGAUGGAGACAACUAUGUUAGGAUCAAGAACGAUAUGGUGGUUGCCACCUGUUAUUCUCCCCUCCCAUUCUACUCAUCGGAUAGUAGGUGUGGAGAUUUCAACAGUGAUUCAAGGAGCGUCAUCGUAACCCUGUUGUGUGGAUCACCGCUAGAGAGGAUGCUUGGCCUCCUUCAUCCUCUCCUACAGAUCUACAAGGAUUAAGGGAUAUACAGCUACCUCCAUCAUAUGUAUGAGUAUAUAAUACACCAGUUUGUCCGGUUAUCUCGAUGUCCCUCUCGAGUAACCUAUGACCGAGAUUAUUUAGGAUCUGUGUUUAAAGGCAAAUCGGUCUCAUUAUUAUAAUCUCAUCAUGAUCCGAUUUCCAUUGCAUAAAUCCAUGGACAUUAUAAUAUAUUAAUGCAACAAAUAAUAUAAAGUGAUAAAAUAUCAAAUAAUAUAAUAAGCAAAAAGAAUACAUAUCAUGUCACACGUGCUAUCACUCAUAUGAUUGGCUUACAUGGCACAUAUGACCAGCACUACAUCCUACUCUCCUCUUCUCCUCCUUAACCUAUAGCCCUUAUUUGGGGUGUGUGGACAACAAGAAGGGCCACCUAUUCUUGAUUGUGUGGUGUGCGCAAAGAGGAGAUUUGGACAAUAAUUUGAGGAGCUCGUCUUCACAACCCUUGUCAUGUGGAUCAUCGCUAGGGAGGAGGAUGGUUGACCUCUUUUAUAAUCUAUUACAAAUUUGUAGGAAUUCAGGGAUAUACGAUCUCCCUAGGUAACACAAUAUAUCUUAUACAUGUAGUUUUUUUGUUUCGCGAGUUUUUAUGCACCAAUUUUUGCACGACGUUGAAACCUUAUUUUCUAUAAGAAAUUCUAAGAUUUUUUUUCUGUUUUUCCACUAUGCAUGUGAUAUCGCCCCAGAUUUUCCAACAGUAUGAAUAUAAACUGCAUAGGUUUUCUACAUGUGAAUAAUGUUUGAAUAUUUUUUAGUGUUCUCAAAUAUUAUUUUGGAUCUCGGGUUUAGAUUAUGGAUGGAUUAUAAUAUUAUUGAAUUAAGAUAGGUUUGCACCCAUUGAGUAUGUAAAUUUAAGGGUGUGACAGAGAUAGUAUUAGUGCAUGAUUUAAGAAUCACUAAGAUAUUAGAUAUGCUAGAUGUGCAACAAACAUUAAGGUUUAGUAACUUUUAUAGAGUGAUUAAUGAAUCAAGAAAGGCGAAGAGAUUUGAAAGGGGACUAAAGCAAGCAAUAAGAAGUUGGAUAUCAGCUUUAAAGCUCCGAGCAUUUGCUGAUGUGCUAGAAAGAGUUCUAAAAAUCGAAAAAGAUAUAAAGGAGAUGCUAUUUACAAGUGUAUUGUAAGCCAAUCACAUGAGUAAUGACAUAUGUGAUACAUUACACAAUCUUUUUAAUUAUUAUUAUUAUAAUAUUUUUCUCACUUUAUAUUAUAUGAUUAAUAUAUAUUAUAAUGUUUUUGGAUUAAUGCAAUGAGAAUUAGAACAUGAAGAGAUCAUGAUAGUUGUUAGGAUCAUAAAGGCACUAAGAGGGGGGGAGGGGGGUGGGUGAAUUAGUACUUUCAGAAUAAAGUUUUGAUUUGAAAAUUUUCAAUCAAAAAGUAUGUAUCAAAAAUGGGUUUAACUUAAAAUGUAAGUAAGGGUAGUAAGCAACUAAAUCAGUCGUAAUUGUAAGGAAAAACAUAAAGAGAAAUGCAAAUAAGAUUUAUAGUGAUUCGGUCGUCCUAACCUAUGUUCACUCCCGAUUCCUUUUCUCUCGAGGUUAUCGACUUUCACUACAGAUCUUUUUUUCAAUGGGCGAAGAUCAACCACCCUUGUUACAACGCUCUUUUUUUCAUAGGCUUAAGAUCACACAUCUCGUUUAUAAGAAAACCUUACACCUCAAUACUUUUUAAGAGAGUUUACACACUUCAAAUAUCAAGUUAUCAUGCUUUUACCAAGCAAGCAUGAGUAAGGUAUUUAUAGACCCAAGAUGACUUAAAAAAUUAGGCCAAAAAAUUAAUUCUCUGGGUUUUCGGGGUACUGGCAGUACUACCACCUACGUCGGGCGGUACUACUACAAUAUAGAGCGUGGGAAAAUGGGCUCUGACAGUUCCAUCACUUGCUUGGGUGAUACUACCGCUUGACAGCCUAAGAACCUAAGCUCUAGUGAUACCACCACCCGCUUGGGCAAUACUACCGCUUGAUAGCUUGGGAACCCGGGCUCUGGUAGUACCACCGCCCAACACAACCCUAGGUCAUUAAUUUUUUCAAUAAGUCCAAUUCAGCUCUGGUUCAGGCCCAAUAGACUUAUAAUCAAGUUGGCAUGGUUACGCCUCAAAACCAACUCAAUUAGACUAUAAACAAUUUUUAUCAAGACUUAACAACUCUAAUUCAAUUAUGAAGCCUUCAACAUGUUGUCUGGCUUCUCAUUUAUUUAUCCGACACUUCGUUAGAACCUUCGACACAUCAUCCUUUCUUUCGACGUAUUGUUCGAUCUAUUGGCAUGUUAACCUCCCACAACAUCUGAUCUUGAUACAAUGCCCGAUCCUUCUGGUUUGAUACAUGAACUCUAACUUCGGCCUAACGUCUGAUUCUCUUACUUUAAUCAAUUUAUCUUUUUAUGAUGAAAAUUAAUCCUACAUCACUUUUCUCAAACAUUGAUUAGACUAUAAAUCCAUCAAUUGAUUUUAUUAUUAAAAUUCAAAAUUCAACACAAUAAAAUCUCUCUUAUGUUUAAGUUAGCAAAUGAAUUAGAAGAGCUUAGUCUGAGUGUCAAAACUAUUAAAAAUUAAUUAUAAUUAUAGACUAGUAUACCUAGGAUUAUUAUAGUAGAUCAUGAGAAAUAAAUAUAUAGUAAAAAAUGAUAGAUAAUUGAGUAUCCUAAAUUCGAAAAUCAUAAGAUUAUGAUGACACUUGUCCAACCAUGUUACCUCCAUUGCGGACUAGUGGGCUCAUGAUGUGACCCAACCUAUCACUUGCAGGUGUCAUCUUCUCAUUUCACGUGGGAAUCCUUAAAAAUUAUUCAUUGCAAUGUCAAAAAUAUUUAGUAGGAACAAUGUUAACAGCAAGGGUGAUUUUGAUAGUUGUGUGUCCGUGAAAGGGCAACUACGUUAUUUCAGAAAAUUAUAAAGAUAAAUAUGAAAAUAAGGGAUAACUGUUUAUAUAUUAUACACUAUCGUCCCGCUGCCUCGUCGGCCGUCUCGAUUCCAAACCCUAGUCAACCCAAUACGCUUCGACGCCAUGGGCGUCUCCGAUCCCGGCUUCCUCAAGUCCGUCGAGCUCCGCCUCAUCCGCUGCACUCUAUACCGGGAACUCCCUUUCUUCCCUCCUGCUUCCCCGACUCCUCCUUCAUCCUCCCUUUCCUCACGUCAAUCAUUCCGCCCCCUCGUCGAGGCCGUCGUCGACUCUAUUGAGAGGGGGCGCUACAUGGAUGCACUCUCCUCCGACGCCUCCCGCCUUGUCUUCGGCUUCUCAGAGUCAUGGGAGUUUCAAGAUUCCGCCGCCUGCGCCGCCCGGUUCUACGAAGAGGUCGAGCUGAGCGUGGAGGCCUUCCUGCGGGACGUUGGCUCGGUGGCCUGGCUCCAAGUUCUUGAUGCAGAUUCUGACCCGGAUGUGGAUGUGGAGGGCAGGUGCGCCUUGCUGAUGUGCCUCGGCGUCGCGGCGCUUCUUGCCUUCACGCAGCAGAACGUGACUGGGUGAUCUCCCUUCGCUUUUUUAAUCCCAAGUUUUAUGCAUUCAAGAAGCUGAAACCAAGUCCUAAGACUUAUCCGUGGCUUCGUAAAUUUUGUAGGCCUAUUGGGAAUUUCUCUCCUUUCCCUCUGGCAUUUCCACUUCUGAAGGAGGGGAUUAGUGAUUGCGGAGGUGAGUGGGACGUGUGGGCACGUAAUCAAGUGGCUUCAGUUGGAUCAGAUGUGCAUGGGAAAUUUGCGCUCUUGCAGGUAUCGAACUUUGUGUUUUCUCAAUGUACUGACGAAGUAUAGCCUUUUCCCCGACAGAGUCUCUCCUCUUUUGUCCUCAUUUCAUUUAACGAAUCUCCAUCAGAGGGUCUCUGUUUUCUCAAGCUAUUGGCUUUGAUGAUUCUAUAAUAUGAAUACAACCUACUGAUUCUUAUGUGAUAUGAUGGAUUCAGAUCACCGGAUGCUAAAAUUGUCAUAAAUUUUUAGGAGAGGUUCUAAACACUUUAACAGAUUAACAAAUUUGUAUAUAUGAGAUUUAUCUGUAAUUUGUAGAUGUUAAAUCAAUUGCCCACAACAAAGUAAGGAUGCUUUUUUGUAUUAUUGUCUUCCUUGCAUGUCUUCAUUAUGUUUUGAUGGUAUAAAUUAUCUCUACUGCAAAAUUGUGUGACCUGGAUGGGUCAUUCACCCAAUAAAGUCUUGGAUCGCCGGUUGGACCAGUGGGUCAACUGGUUGUGAAAUGCCUCUUUGUUAUCAAAUGAAUUCAUAAAAUUUGAUGAUCAAAAGAUAAACGUCCAAAUUUCAGUGAGUUGGAUGGCAGGAAAAUAGGUCAACAGGUGACAAGAGAAGGAUAAGAAAAAUAACAACCGUGAAAGAGAAUUACUACAAAAAGGAAGGGACAAAAAGAAAAGGAAAGAGGCAAAUGAAGGAUGAAAGUGAUUGAAUAAGAGAGGGAGACAACAAAAGAGCGAGAAAGGACAUUAGUGAAAGAAUAUAGAGAGGCUAGGGGAGGCUGAUAAGAGGGGCUUUUUAGAGAGUCUUCAAAGUGCAUACUGAAGCAUCUGAUAUUUUCCUUUUCAAGAAAGACUACAAUAUUCUCAAAAUUUAAAUAAAAAUUAACUAUAUUCAAGGGUAUUUGGGUCAAUAUGGAAAAAUAAUUCAAUUAAUGAACCGGACUGGCCAAGGAUUAGGUUCCCAAUUUCUUCGGUUGGACUGCCAGUUUGUUAUGGGUUUAAUAACUACGCUGUGAUGUAUUAUGAACUAUGCUGGUAGAUCAUGAUAUAAUACACAUUUUUAUAUACUUCUUGUUGGUGUCAUGAAUGUGUGCAGCUCUAGGUUGCAGUGGUCAAGAGUAAAAAGUUCUGAAUCUUGAUUUAAACAUGCAAUAAUCAUGUGAGAGUUGCAGUCUUGAGCUUGGCCUAUUUAAUCUGUGUGCGCCUGCACAACCAUUAUCACUUGUAUACUAGACAUGCAGUUUCUGUUUAUUCAAUUAUGACACUGUUAUUUUAUGAUUUGACCCUCUAUAUUAUUGAUUCUGACACCAUGAAUGCCACCAGCCAAUUAAUCUCAUGAUGUAUCGGUUCCAUUGUGAACAAGCAAAAUAUGGCAAGGCUAAUAUGACAAAUCAAUCAUGGUAUGUUUUGUUCAACACAAUUGUUGAUUUGGUUAUGUCUGGUCACAUAUCCGAGAUCGAACUAUUUAAAUUGAUUUAUCAGGUCAAUUAUGCCUAGUUGUUUAUGAUCUGAUAUGACCAUAUUGAAACUUGCCUUCUUGUCUGAAGUUCAUGCCCCACUUCUUGGUUGCUUUUUUAUCGUUUCUUUUCUCUUGUUUCUAAUGCUAGAAUCUGGACAUCUUUAUUUGCUAGUUACUCAAUAUUUAUAGGUGAUGCAAGCAAACAAAUCAUUUGCUAGAUGCUUGUAACUUCCAUUUAGAAUUCUUUUAUAUUCAGAACUUGGUUGUGCCUGUUAGAUUCAAGUUUUUGUCGAAACCUUGCGAGCUUGGCCUUUCAAUCUUGACCUGUCAGCUUGAUGCAUUUUAUUAUUGGUUUUUAAGCCAAAAAAGAUAGAUCACUGUCGACUGACAGUGAUAUGUGCUUCCAGGGGCAAACAUUUCUUUUAGAUCUCAAAAUUAUAUUCAGUGCUGUUGAGGGCGAAUGCUUAGAACCAACUGCUGUCUGCAGCUGAUAGUUUAUCCUACAUGGGAACCUAGACUAAAGUUGGCCUAAAAUAUGAGAUCAGAGCCAUGGUAUGUACUUUUGAGCAAUGCUGGCUCUUGGAAAGGCAUAGCUUGUGCUUCUAUCAACCUGAAAUUAGUUGAUCUUGUCGGGCCUUUCUUUAGAUCAAGAAAAAGUUAUAUGACAGAAAUAUGAAAUUUCUUCUGAUGAAAAUAUACGUUCUUUGUGUAUAUUUUUAGGUGAUAAUUGGAACUCAAGUGUCUUCCUUAGUGAUUCUCUUUGUGUGUCUUUUUGCUUUAAGUAUGAUAAUGCUUCUAAGCAUUUUGUUAAUGUACAAACUGCAAAGUGUGUCUUUGCAUUUGAUAAAAUUUUUGUGUUAUAGCUUUGGUACAAAUUCUAAUGUUAUUUUCAUUGUUGUUGGAUGCGAUAUAGUCUGUUGUAGCAUGUUCAGAUUUAUUCAUACUAUAUAAAGCUUGUAACGAGCUUUUGUUGAACCUACUUAAUAAUGCAACAUACUUUUUGUUUCAGUACAUUGUAUACUCAAAGAUUUUGUUGAGCAAGAUAAAGGAGUUGGUCCUUGAGGUGGAAACAUCUUAUAUAAAUGGUUGCAGAAGUCUAUAUUGGUGGUUAUGUAGGCUUUUCUGUCUCCAACAAAGGAUUACAGAGGAGCUGUCAUCUUCUCUAUAUGAUCUACUGCAGUUAUUCAAGACUAGCACUUUACAUCAGUUUGGAGAUUUUGAACAUGUUGCUGGUUACUGGGGUACUAUGUUAAAUGAAGGGGAAGCUUUAGCAAUUGUGUCAUUGGCUCAUUUAGAGGCAGGAAUCAUUGAACAUAAAUAUGGCCAAAUUGAUUCCUUCAGGUAAGUACCUGGAUGCUAUUGGAUGUAUGUGGUACUUCUUUUAGAUAUAUACACAAGCAUCUUGUUGACCAUCAUACACUGCAUGAUCCUUGUACACUGGAUGUACCAUGAUAUGCCACAUAUUUUGCUGCUUUAUCAAUGAUUUAAGGAUAAAUUGUUUUGACUUGCUUUGAUUCAGGCAUAUGAGCAAUUGCAUCUUACAUUGUGCAGUAUUAUAUUUGAGAAUGGGUGUACAGACUUUUGUUGCAUAUUUCCUUUAGUUCCAUUUUCUUUGGAAUUACUUCUUUUUCAAGUGUGUUUCAGUUGUCAGAAAAUCCUAGAUACUGAGGUACUUAUUGGUUUUUGCUAUCUUGAGCAGAAAUAUUUAGUGUUUCGGUGAAGGUUUUUAAUCUUGGAUACUGUACCCAUAUCAGUCUUAGCCUGGACUGGUAUAGGCUGGAAUCAUACUGGCAUAUUGUGUGUCGGUGUAUGCUGGUACAUAUCAAUAUUUGAAAAAUCCUGAAAAAAGGAAAAAAUAAUGGAAAAAGUUACUGUAUCAGAUGGUACAAGCCUUGUAUCAAGUGGUACAAGUCUUAUACUUGGUGUACUGCCCCGUUUACCCUGGUCCACUUGUCCGUAGGCUGUGGACUGGUAGAUACCACCCAUCAUCAGAUGAAUUGUGUUUAGGGUUGAAAUGCCCCUUGAACCUGGAGCUAGCUGGUUCUCCCUAAAAUGUGUUGAGGCGCAACAAGUUGCUUGGCUAUUAAUUGCAAGAUUACAAAUAGCAAUCAAACUUAUACAUAUUGACCUACAUUUAUUUAUUUAAUCCAGGACCUAUAUUGAGACCAUGUAAUUCGGUGCCAGUUAGUACUUAUAGUUUCUUAAUUUUUACUGAUAUCUUGUGGUAGAGGUAGGUAUACAACCUGUCCACUUGUUUCGUACUGAUCUAAAAAGGUGUCAAAACCAGUAUUGUACCAGGAUUUAAACCUUGAGUGAAAUUUUUUUGGUUCAUGCAUUAUUUUGCUGCAUUAGAUCACUUAUAAAGAUUAUGGUAGCAGCACUAAUGUACACAUUAUGUGUGUACAUUGCCUCAAUAAGUACCUGCAGUGGGAAAGGAAAUUUCAUAUAAAUAAUCACAGAGAAAUUUAUGCCAAACUAGAAAGUUGGUGUAUUACCAUUAAACAUGGAAAAUUUAAAUCUCAAAAUUUUCAGGCAAUUUGCAUGUUAGUUAUUUUAUAUCAUGCAAUUUGAAGUGCACAGUGUUUAACGUGAGUUCUCGGAGGAGGUUCCAAUUACAAAUGUGACUCUAGAGCAUUGUUGCCAAAGACUUUCUCAGCCGUUAUCUUCUUCAUAUUGCACUUUCUUUAAUAGUGUUGCACAAGGAUUGAAAUAUCGUACCGUACCAGAGUUUCAACGUUUGCUCAGUACGGUACGAUACUGUAUACCGAGCGGUAUACCAUUCGAUAUAUAUAUAUAUAUAUAUAUAUAUUUCGAUGACGUCGUCGAAGCAACGUUGACUCUCUCUUCUCCCAGGCGAUGUCGCCUCGUUUAUAUAUAUAUAUAAAUUAAUAAAUAUAUAUAUAUAUAUAAAAGAUUAUAUAUAUAUAUAUAUAUAUAUAUAUAUAUAUAUAUAUUAUAAAAGGCGACGUCGCAUCGCCUCGGCGAUGUUGCCUUUUCCUUCUCCCAGGCGGGGCGAUGUCGUCGAGGUGAUGCGAUGUCGCCUCGCUUAUUUAUAUAUAUAUAUAUAUAUAUAUAUAUAUAUAUAUAUAUAUAUAUAUAUAUAUAUAUAUAAUAUNNNNNNNNNNNNNNNNNNNNNNNNNNNNNNNNNNNNNNNNNNNNNNNNNNNNNNNNNNNNNNNNNNNNNNNNNNNNNNNNNNNNNNNNNNNNNNNNNNNNNNNNNNNNNNNNNNNNNNNNNNNNNNNNNNNNNNNNNNNNNNNNNNNNNNNNNNNNNNNNNNNNNNNNNNNNNNNNNNNNNNNNNNNNNNNNNNNNNNNNNNNNNNNNNNNNNNNNNNNNNNNNNNNNNNNNNNNNNNNNNNNNNNNNNNNNNNNNNNNNNNNNNNNNNNNNNNNNNNNNNNNNNNNNNNNNNNNNNNNNNNNNNNNNNNNNNNNNNNNNNNNNNNNNNNNNNNNNNNNNNNNNNNNNNNNNNNNNNNNNNNNNNNNNNNNNNNNNNNNNNNNNNNNNNNNNNNNNNNNNNNNNNNNNNNNNNNNNNNNNNNNNNNNNNNNNNNNNNNNNNNNNNNNNNNNNNNNNNNNNNNNNNNNNNNNNNNNNNNNNNNNNNNNNNNNNNNNNNNNNNNNNNNNNNNNNNNNNNNNNNNNNNNNNNNNNNNNNNNNNNNNNNNNNNNNNNNNNNNNNNNNNNNNNNNNNNNNNNNNNNNNNNNNNNNNNNNNNNNNNNNNNNNNNNNNNNNNNNNNNNNNNNNNNNNNNNNNNNNNNNNNNNNNNNNNNNNNNNNNNNNNNNNNNNNNNNNNNNNNNNNNNNNNNNNNNNNNNNNNNNNNNNNNNNNNNNNNNNNNNNNNNNNNNNNNNNNNNNNNNNNNNNNNNNNNNNNNNNNNNNNNNNNNNNNNNNNNNNNNNNNNNNNNNNNNNNNNNNNNNNNNNNNNNNNNNNNNNNNNNNNNNNNNNNNNNNNNNNNNNNNNNNNNNNNNNNNNNNNNNNNNNNNNNNNNNNNNNNNNNNNNNNNNNNNNNNNNNNNNNNNNNNNNNNNNNNNNNNNNNNNNNNNNNNNNNNNNNNNNNNNNNNNNNNNNNNNNNNNNNNNNNNNNNNNNNNNNNNNNNNNNNNNNNNNNNNNNNNNNNNNNNNNNNNNNNNNNNNNNNNNNNNAUAUAUAUAUAUAUAUAUAUUCCGUUCCGUCCGGUAACGAGCAGUCCGUGUACCGGUCAGUGUACCGGUCAGCUGACGGACCAGUAUGUACCGCCUGUAUCGGGCGGUAUUAUUCGAAAUUGCAUACCUUGGUAUUGCAUCUAGUAAUCAUUUUUGAAUUCCAAUUUGGCUAACGCAAUUUCAUGAUGCUGUAUAACCCCUUCAUGGGACAAAUUAUCGAGGUUGAGCAUUAGAUGUAAUAAAGAGUUAUUGGAACCAUCACUGCUGGUUUAGCUCAUCAAGUUGGUUUGACUAUGGAACACCACUUUGAAAAAGUUUAUUGUAAGAUGCUGGAAGUAGUAUGCGAGGGUGAGCCUUGGCACCACAAUAAAGUUUCUUCGUUGCGUUCUAGGUAAUGAUCUUGCAGGUAUAAGUUUGUGUACAUCAAGCAUUCGUAAACCCUGUUUUGGUGAAAUCCUCAUGUAUUAGGCCACUCCUUUUUUUUGGCAAUCUGGCUGGUCAUCAAUCUGUCACGAAUAGGAAGUUGUCAGGCUUGAGGAGCAUUGAGGCCUCUUGGAGCUUGCUUGACCCUUAAUGUAUAUUUUAACGAAGGCACAUUUAUUGAGAGCUGGCAAUGUAUAUUUUAAUGAAGGCAUAUUUAUUGAGAGUCUUUACGAACAAAACCUUUCAAAUACAGUGAAAAAAAUUUAGUCGUUGGAGAGUGGUCUAGGACCUAAGGAUCAAAGAUGACCAACAUUUCAUGAAGAAAAAAAAAAAAGCUCAAGAGUGGUCAUUGUUUUUGUCAUCAUAUUUGCAUUUCAUUUUUGUUCCUCCAUAUUCCUCAUAUUUACUCUUCUUAAUUAAUUUUAAUUUUGCCCCAUGGCUAAAUGGAGCUCCGAUGAGUCAUUAUCAUCUGUCACCAUCUAACUUGAGCAUAUUGUACUAAUGCUAAACUUUCCAGCACCACUAGCAUUAAUAAUACUCCUUUGAGCUAUAUUUAUAGAGACAAGUCAUCCAUAGUGCAGUUGGAGUAAGAAAAAAGGAAGAAAAAUAUGAAAGGUAUAAAGAAAGAAAGAAAACAGUUCUCCACCAAGGUAGGGUGUGAAGACGAUAGAUAAAGAAAAUAUGAUAACGAGAUGUGUCUAGAAAGCACAGACAACAACAAGAAGAAAGCAAAGAAGAGCCAACAUGUAGUCAAAAUAAGAAAUAGAACAAAAAGUAGAGACAUUAGAAUAAACAAAAGAAAAGAGGCAAAGGAGGGGUGCAACAAAAUAGAGCGGAGUAUGAAAAGUAAAACUUGUUUGUCUUUUUUCUUUUUAAUAAUCUCUUCCCCUGAGAUGCAGAGUGAAAUUCAUGUAACAGGUCUCUUGUUCAAUUAUACACCCUGUUUCUGGCAAAUGAUUACAGAAGUUACCUUAACAAUAAAUGAACAGUGCUCAAGCCCUAUGAAGUGCUCAUUAAAGAUGAGGCAUAAAGAUUGUGUUUGGAUUGUGCCUCAGGGUUCAUAUAGCUCUUAUCUUCUCUAGUACUUGUUUUCAAGAUUAUAAAUAUUGGUCCAAUACCAGUUGCCAUAGCCUGUCAGAUCAAUACAGUACCAAGAUACCGAGCAGUGUACCAACUUAUACCCCCUUGAUAACACUAAUUAAAUAGUAAUAUAGACUGACCAGUAUUCCAAGCUGUACCAAGGUGCAUGGUUCACUAUGGGUCAUGGCUGAAUCAGUAAAUACUGGUUGGUACAUAUCUCUCCAACUGGUAUCUUAAGCCAUGUUUGGUUUCAUAUACAACUAAGUGAACAUGUGAUAGACUGGUAUCUUGUGGUAAUAUUUGUGAAAUUCAUUAAUCAAAGAAACCCUUAGCUUGCUUAAUUUUCAUCUUUUACCUAGAAUUCAGGAUUCUGUGACCUGCUUAAAACUAAUUCUGCAACAUGCUUGGUUCUUAAUUUGCAAUCACAUUUCUUGUAUUGCAAUUUUCUUGUAAUUUAUACAAUUAAUUUUUCAGGUCACAUCUGGAAUGUGCUGAAAAAUCAUGUGGACUGCACCUUAUUGUUACUGGUGCUCUUGGAUUCCGGACAAUACACCAGGUUCUUUUUUGCUGAAUGAUUUGUGGGAGCUAACCUUGUAGUGUAUCAACCUCUUUUGAAGAAACUUUGUUUUAUAUGAUUUAGGUAGAAGCAAAGCCUCAGUUGAUACUUGCUGCAAACAAUCAUGAACAAAGCCAUGUGCAUCUCUCUCAAGUCCAGAGUGAUAGUACUGUUUCUGAAAGUAAGGAUGCAGUUGAUCAUAAACUUGAUGAUUGUUCUGAUGUACUAAUGACACCAAAAUUAGUAAAAAAUGGCAAGAAUGAUGAUCUUAAUGUGGAUCUUACUCACAUCAACAAGGAUAUUAAUUUGACAUUCAUCCAGCAAGCUGUUAUACUUGCACAAUGCUUACAUCUCCAGAGGAGAAGUCGUGAUGAUGAAUUGUCUGGUAAGUUUUGCUUCAUAUGAUGAUGGCAUUUGCAUGAACUCUCUUGAUCUUUUUCUUAUAGUUCUCUUUUUUUUCAAAAUUAUGUGGAACACUAAAUUAGUGUCCUUUUUCAUUGUAUGUUUUAUGUGCUUAUAAAUAUUAAUUACUGUAUUGAUAUAAUUAUGUUUAGAUGCCUAGUUGUCAUGUUACUGCUAUGAAUAGUGGAACCUAUAGUUAAUAUCUCCAAGACUUUCUUCUUUUCCUAAUAAUGUUUAAAGCAAUUCAAAACUCCGAGCAACAUGUUGGUGAAAAUGCAUAUUGUAUUUGCAAGUGUUGUGUCCUCUCCUUGUCCUUCUCCAUUCUGUCUUCCUACCAAAUUUUGUUAGUUGUUUUUGGAUCUACAUCAUUGAAAGCAUUAACGAGGGUGAGAAUCGUCAUAGUUGUUCAAAUGAAUUUAAUUAAGGCGACUAACUUUAAAUGGCUAAGGACUUGUUGGUUGUUUUUCAUUUUAUUUUACAUCUGUUUUUUUGGGAUUGAUUAUGACAUUUAGGCUAUGGGCUAUAAGAUAGUAACAAUUUUCUAAGCUAUAGAUUGGACAACCAUAUCAGUAGUGCUGCUCUGUGCUGCAUGGGACAAUUGAUCAAUGACUGAGGUGCAGUACUUGCAUCUGAGGCAUUUAACUUAUUCAGUGCCAAUUAAUUCAAACAUUAAGCUAUUCUGACUCUUAUUUAUAUAUACAGUUGUUAUUUUUCUCUAUCUCUGUGUUUUUGUAUUUAAGUACAUGUGCUAAGUUACAUCCCAGUUACCUUUUUUGACCAUGGCUGGUGCUCUAGUGGAUUGCGGUUUGUAGUCACCGGUUGUUUACCUGUAGUAGCAGAUGCAACACUAAUAUAGAUAAUUAUGGUAGUGCUACUGCCCAUGCAGUCUGACAUUUCUCAACAUCCUUAUGAAAGUUUACUCUUUAUUUUGUUUCAUUAUUAUUGUAAAACUAUUAUAUAAUAGAUGGUUUGAUGCUGUUUUUUUUCUUUCUUUAUCUUGCCAACAUUUUUUACUUCUAUUUACAUGACGUUGUUUCCUUCUGGUCAUACUCUGUAGGGUGGGAAAUGGCCCCAUACAUUGAGGCUAUUCAUUCUCAACAUCAAACUUGCUACACUGUGAGUAUUACAAUUUUUUUAUAUCCUCUAGAUUUUACUUAUACUGAUUAUUAUCUGAAUUAAUAUAUAUUUUUCUAUCUCCAUUAUCCUUGGUUCUUCCAUGUUUUCUUGGCAGGCUUCAUGAAAAGAAACAUGAUUCUAUAACAUUUUUAUAACUUAAUGCACCUGACUUGACAUGUUCCCUUUUAGUUGGUAUAAACUGAGUCAAGUAACUUUGACAAGAUAUGGACCCUUACUGGCCUCUUAGACCAGUAAGCAUUGAAAAGAGACCUAUAUCAUUGGACAUGUGAUUUGCAACAUAUGGAUUGCUGUUAUCUAAAUACCAUGAGUUCUAUAAAUAAGUUGCCAGCUCUACUUCCAAUGCAUCAUUUGAUGAAUUUGGUGCUACAGUAUGAUCAGCAUUGUUUUGAGCAAUACCUACUUGAUGCUCUGGGAAUUUGCUGUUUAUUUUAUUAAAUCCCACUGUUCAGUGUUUAUGUAUGCAUUUAUUGAGUGUUCAUUUCUGUUGUAUUAUUCUCAAUACCUUCUCACAAGUUGUUCUGUUCAGUUGUGUGGCUAUAUCUGUUGUGUGUUUUGAGACUAUAUAGUGCGGCAGCUGUCUGUAUUAGAGACUCGGCUAAUAACCUUCUAUGUGGUUGCUUCAAAUGUCACUCAAAUUAUAUCAUCAAAGAUGUGGGUGAAGUAGUUUCAGUUUCAUGUAUUGCUAUCUCCUGCACUAUGCAAAUACCAUUAUCAUUGAGGAUAGGGCAAUAGGUCGCCUGUUUGAGCUAGAUUGCCCUGAUGCAGCAUAUUUAUUGUUGGUGCAAAAGUCGAGUUGGUUUGUGUGUAUGGUUAUGAUUUUGUGAUAUGUAUGUUCAAAGAAAAUGGAUAUGGAAGGGAUGGAAUGUCACUUCCCAUCCUAUCCUCAGAUAUUUGAUAUUAAUCUAUCAUGUGGCUGGUACAAUAAAUAGGACUUGCUUGGAAAAAAUUGUUUUUCAAUCAUAAAUUUUUAUUAUUUUCAUUAUAAUCCUUCAGAUAAUUAUUGUUGCCGAUGUAUUAUAACAUUGAAGCCAUAGUAAUUGAACAUAUUAGCAUAAAAGAAACAAUGAAGUUCUGUUGAACUCUUCUUUAGAGAAGACAUUACACUUGCUAUUUUAAUUGGAAAUUGCCAUCAUCUAAUGAAAAUAUCUUUCUAGAUUAGUAACUUCUGUGACAUUCUGCGAAUCCGAUGGGAGUCUAAACGAAGUCGAACAAAGCAGCGGGCUUUGCUUAUGAUGGAUAAGUUGGUAAGACAACUUCAUCUUUUUAGGGCUUAUGCCAUUUUUCGGACACAGUGCACAUGUUUUCCUUAGAUGUUGACAUGAGUUUAUCUCUUGGAUAUAUGCUAGGGUAUGUUUGUUUAUGAGGAAGCCUGCAUUCUUGCAGAUUUAUUUUAUGGUCUUUUGCUUAAAGCUUUGCUAUCUUUAUGUUCUCCAGACAUAUGACAUGUGCAAAUAAUUCAUUGCAAUAUUUCUCAUCCUUUUAAAAUUCUGCUGGUGAGCAUUUCUUAAUAAUUUUCUCUAUGGACUACCAUAUUUGUUGUGCUUCUUGCCUUCUGAUCUUUGUUCAUGUGCUAUGCAUUUGAAGUUUCUCAAGUAUGUUAAGCAUCAUUGUGCUAUGAUUCAGCUCGGAGUUCAAGCAAUGAAGAUUAAGGAUUAGAUCAUUUAAAAGAAACCAUUUUGUUUUGCUAUAAUCAUGAUUCAUUACUAGGUUCAUUAUAUUCUAGAUUUAAUGUUGUAGUUGAAUUUUUUGUUUGUGACACAUUAAAACUUGUGCAAGGGUAAGUUGGCACUUUUCAUCUGCUUGAUUUUAUUUUCUAAUGUUGUUUUGUAGCUUAUACCUCCUUGCAUACCAAGAGUUAGGUCACCAUUACUGUCACAAAGAAUUGACACUAGAUUCUCACCUCAUAUGGUUUCUUGUUCAAUUCUUUCGAAGUAAUUUCAUCCUUUCUUUGUUCGAGCAAUGAUUUCAAUAGGCGCUCGGGCGAGGCGAGGCGAGGCCCGAGCGCCUUGCUUCAUUUCCAGGCGGCACGCUUCAAAGAGGCGCUGCCUGGGCACUCGCCCGAGCCCAGGCGCCAGGCGCUCGGGGCGAGCGCCUGGGUUAAACCAGGCGACCGAACCAGCGUUUUAGGUUUGGUUCGGUCUUAGGUGCUUUAGUUGGUUCAAUCGAACCAACUUAAGCACAAAUAUUAGUGUGACUUCCCCAACCCUAGCCCUGCUCGCCAUUCAUGCUACUGCCGUCGCUACUUGCUGCCGCUGCUGCUGUCACCACUCGCUGUCCUCGCUGCCGCUGCUCGCUGCCGCUCCCACUAUUGCCGCUGCCGCUGCUCGCUGCUACCAUUGCCACUGUCUCCGCUCGCCGCUCUCGCUCCCGCUGCCGCUGCUCACUGCUACUGUUGCCACUAUCUUCGCUCGCUGCUUCCGCUCCUGGUCUUGCUGCUCGCUGCUGUCGGUGCCACUGUCGCCGCUUGCCGCUCUCGCUGUCGCUGCUCACUGCUGCCGGUGCCAUUGUUGUCGCUCACAGUUGCCGCUCCCGCUCUUCUCAGUCAACACCCUCGGUCUUCCGACUCUUCCCUUACACUAUUCUCGUCUUUCGAUAGUAUACUGUUAACAGUAUUACUGUAUACCGUUAACUGUAUACUAGUAAUAGUAUUUGUAUUUAUUAGAUUAAUUUAAUAGCAUAUUUUAUUUUAAAAUUUAAAUAAUUCUAUUUAUUAAUUAUAUUAUAUAUUUUUAUAUUUUAGUGUCUCACUUCGCUCGGGCGAGCGCCUAGCGCCUCGGGCGUUUUUGGACCUUGGCGCCUAGCGCUUUUUAAAUCAUUGUGUUCGAGAUUCUCCUUUCAUAUUCUACUCCAUACCAACGAGUAACUAUGAUCGAUUUAGUUAUGCUUUCAUGUUCUAAUUGAAUACUUUUCAUUUAUAAUCAAAGAUGAAAAUUAUUCUUUUUACCAAUCAAUAUGUGGACUAGAACAAGAGAGCUUUCUGAUCAAUCCCCUUGCCCUUUGGUUUUUUUUUUUGGAUAAUGAGAAAGAUUCUUUUCAAGCUUGAAUUUGUUCAUUUGGAACCUGGGCUAAUUGAAGCACUAGACGGUACAGGCACAAUCACCUGACCGUCAUUGUACUAUUGUUCUUUUUUGAAUUGUUAGUAUAAUCUAAUAAUAUGACCAGAUCCUAAUACUCUAGUACUCUCUUCUGCUUUUAUAUUAUGAUUCCAUAUAAAUUUUGAUUUGAUGGUUCACGAAUGAACCAUCUGAUACUAUUUUAUAUAAUGGAAGGAUAUCUUUCAGUCCUUCCGUAUGUCAGUGCACUUCAGCUGUAUUUCGUGCUGCUGCAGAUUCCUUCUAAAUACUUACAGCCAUCAUCCAUUUGUCCUAUCUAAUAAGUCCUUGAUCGGCCCAUAACAAAUCAGCUUAUAGUAUAACCAUUAACUUUAGCCAGAGUUAGCAAGACUGAGACCUUGGUCUGAAUUUCAGACAUAAAUGACUUAUCUGAAGUUGAACGUGAUAUUUCCCUCGGAUGAUUGGAAGCUGACCCAGUUUGAUCCAGUCAUGGGACCUCUGGUACUAGAUCAUCAAAUGUGAUGUAUGCCACCCACCACUUUGUAUAUUGAUUGAAACAUUCUUCAAAUGGAAAGGAUCCAUAUAGAAAGGUUGGAGGAGGAGGUCAAAAGGAGAGGAUCUUCUUUUAGCUCUUUUUCAUUUUAAAACAUAUUCAUUCGAUUGUUUAAUCUCCUAGACGCUCUUAACAACAAUGAAUUCGUAAAUAAGAAGCAUAAAAAAAUUAAUUUAUAAGAGAAUUAGUGGAAAUUAGAAAUCUAAAAGUCAUACCUAUGCCAUUAUUUUGGGCUUUUGGGCCUAAGAUUAUAAAUGGUGGUUCAUGGCUGAUCUACUGUAUGCACAUCAAACCAACAGAAGCUAACACAUUUCACCAAUUGUAGGGUAAUAAAGGAUGAAGCAAGUGAAACAAGUUCGUCAAUUGUCAAAAUAGAAAGAAUUAAUUGCACGAGUGUAUGUAGCAUAUAUUCUGAAACUGUCAUUGCAUCCUAGAUAGCAUCUGAAACUACUGUCAACAAUUACCAUUCUUAUUCACGCUGACGUUUCCUGCUCUCCUGUCUUGCUGGAUUACUAGGUUCAAGUUAUUUUUGAUGCUUCUCCUGUGACUGCCCAAAGGAUUCAGCUAUGUUAUGGGCUUUAUAUCCCAACUGUUUCAGCACUGAGGAAGUAUGUCUUAUUGGUCGUCUUGCAAUAUUUUAUAUCUCUCUUUGUUGAAACUAUCUUCAGUUAUCAGAACUUUCUUGUUUUCUAUUCUGUUAAAAAUAUGGACUAUCUAAUGACUAAUUUGUUCUAUGUCAAUUUUGCACUUCCAGAGAAUAUGGUGAGCUGUUGGUGAGUUGUGGUUUAGUUGGAGAGGCACUAAAAAUAUUUGAGGAUCUUGAAUUAUGGGAUAAUCUAAUUUACUGCUAUCAGUAUGUAAUUGUUUUCAUUUAUAUUGUCAUUUUUUUUGCAUUUGUAUAUGUCAUAGGUCUAAUCAAGUUGUAAAUAUACUCACUCAUUUUGACAGAUUACUAGGGAAAAAAGCAGCAGCCGUUGAUCUUAUCAAGUCACGCCUACAUGACAUGCCUAGUGAUCCAAGAUUAUGGUGAGUUGAAAAUAUGUUUUUUUGGCUGGUAACAUGUUAUUUGAAAGAGUGAAAGAUUGUGUAUUUGUUGAUUGAAUAUAAUUUGAGUAUUCCCCUCUCACUACAGCAGAGGUGUAUAUGCUCUUUGGUCAUUAGCUUAUAAAAAACGUCUUGUUACAGAGUUAAGGAACUUAUUAUAUUAAGAAUUGUUCUUAUUGGUCUUCAUAAAGAAUAAUUUGCUCUUGAUAGUAUCUUCAAUUAAUGGCCAAAUAAUUGAAUAAUUCUUACAAAAUCAGGAGGAUUUUGAUUAGGGAUUUUCCCAACCAUAAAACUGAUAAGACCCUAGGGUUUUAUCAUAAAAGAAAGGGGAGAAAAGGGGAUGAUCACUUCGAGGGGAUCGGCCUCCUUGAUCAUUUCGAGGGGAUCUGCCUCCUAGGGUUUGUCAGAAGACUGAAAUAAUAUUUUAUUGAUUGCCGAAAAGAAACAGAUACAUCCCUAUUUAUAGAGUUCUAUCCAAAGUUCAUCAGGACUUGGAUUCUUAAUAAAUAAAUAAAUAUCAAAUAAACCCCUAUCCGAUGAACUAGACCAACUCAAUAAAACAUUAUUCAAAGCUUAGAAAAUAAAAGGAUCAUAACAAUUCCUCCCUCUUCAAAUUAGCCUUGUCCUCAAGGCUGAGUAGUAUCAAACUCGAGGAGUUUCGCUUUCAGCACUUCAGUCACAGGAUAUCUGUGGCGCAUCACAAGUCAUUGAUUAAGUAAGUAUGGUCUCCACUUCUUGAUAAUUUAAGCAAUAGGUCGGCCUUUCGGUGUAGUAGUCGUUGUAGUCUUUCGAAGAACCUUCUCCAUCUGAUGGCUAGUGGCUGUUGUGACCUUACUUCCACAUCUUCCCUUUAGGAUCACCUGCUUUCCAUUAAUAAGAAACUUAAUGAUUAGUUUAGAAAAAAUUUAAGAAACAUCACCCAUGGUUGAUAAUCAUUCAAUUCCAAGCACCACUUUGAAGUCUUUUAAGGGUAGCAAAAAGAAGUCAACGAGCUAUUUCCACCUUUGAUUCUUCUGGAGUUCUGUGAAAAUGGAAAAAAAUUUCUGCUCUAGAGAUCCAACUGGUCGGAUCUCCAUCUUCCUGUUUUGGGAAUUCCACCUUCAUGCGUGGGUUGCUUUUGUCCUGUUCUUGGUUCCUUUUUUCUGUCUUCAGAUCGGUUCAAUGUAAGACUUGAACUUUCAUCUUGUUGAAACUUGCUAAAGCUCUCUAAUAGACUCUUUUUAAAAUCGUUAAGGGUUUCUUGUAGCCGAUUCUCAAUUCUAGUUUCCAAGGCUUCUAAUUGGGCUUUCACUGUGUUGUCGAUAGCCAUUGCGUAAGACUGCAGAUCUGUAAUCUCCAACUGCUGUUUCUGGUGUUGGGUCAAGGGCAUCAGUACUGCACUAUUCGACGCGACUACUAUGAAGUUUGGCUCGGGGCAGCGUUGAGGGCGUAAGGGAACGCGAAGCUAUCGAGGAAGCGGACACCGAGGGCAGCGUAAAGGCUUGCUGUGGUCGCUGCGAGGAGGAAAGGUUGCUGCCCUGUUUUUGUCGCUGCGUGGGGUGAGGCUGCGGGGGUUGGAAGGUGGCGGCGUCGGCGUGGGGAGCGACUGAGGGCGGCUGCGCGUGUGGCUGCGGUUGUUGUGACCCAAGGGGAGCAAUUGCCGAGCGGCCGGGGUUGAGGCUGCGGGGGCUGGAAGGCGACGGCGUCGGCAUGGGAGCGAUUGAGGGCGGUUGCGUGUGUGGUUGCGACCCAAGGGGAGCGAUCACCGAGUGGUCAGGGUUGAGGCUGCGGGGGUUGGAAGGUGAUUGCGUUAGCAUGGGGAGCGACUGAGGGGGUUGCAGAUGCCGAUCGCGCGCGGUCGCUGCGCACACGGUCGCUGCGUGCGUAGCGAUCGCAGAACGAGGGUGGUGGUCGUUGGCCGGAAAGCAACGGUGGCGGUGGUUGCUGGCCGAGAAGCAAUAGCAAAAGGGGAGGAAACAAUGGUGAUCGACGGCUGCGGCAGAUGCAUAGUUGCCCUAUUUCGAUCGUCGCAAGGAGGGGAGGUUGCUGUCGAGGUCGGGAGGCAAUAGUGGUGGUGCGGUUAGGAAGCAGCGGCGGUGGUGGUCGCUGCCCUGGAAGCAGUAGCAAAAGGGGGGGAAACAACGGUGACCGACGGUUGUGGUAGAAGAUGCAGAGUUGCCCUGUUUCGGUCGUCACGAGGAGGGGAGGUUGCUGCCGAGGUCAAGAGGCAGCAGUGGUGGUGCAGCUAGGAAGUAGCAGUAGCAAAAGGGGAGGAAACAACGGUGAUCGGCGGCUAUGACAGAAGAUGCAGAGUUGCCCUAUUUUGGUCGUCGUAAGGAGGGGAGGUUGCUGUCGAGGUUGAGAGGCAAUAGUGGUGGCACGGCUGGGAAGCAACGUCACCGAGGAUUGGGAGCAACCAAGGAUCGUUGAGGCUAGGAGUGAUGAGGGGGGUGGUCCGCUAGUCGGGAACAGUGGCGACUGCCCUUUCUUGCUUGAGUAGGAUGGGGUGUGGCUGCGUACGCGGCUGGUGGGUGGCUGUGGCGCAACGAGGGAUGUGGUCGUUGGCUUGGAAGCAGCGGCGGUGGUGGUCGCUAGUCGGGAAUCAGUAGCCCUUGUGAGGAGGAUGGUCGUGGUUGUCGUUUUUUUUUUAAGAUGAUGAUAAUUGCGGCGAAGUGUUGUGAUAAAUUGCAGAGAGAACGCUGAGGAUCGCUUCUUUGAUACCAAAUGAUAGUUUUAUCAUAGAAGAAGGGGGAGAAAAGAGGAUGAUCACUUCGAGGGGAUUGACCUCCCAGGGUUUGUCAGAAGACUAGAAUAAUAUUUCAUUGAUUGCCGAAAAGAAACAGAUACAUCUCUAUUUAUAGAGUUCCACCCAGAGUUCACCAGGACUUGGACUCUUAAUAAAUAAAUAAAUAUCAAAUAAACCCCUAUCCGACUCUUACUGAACUAGACCAACUAAAUAAAACAUUAUUCACAACUCAGAAAAUAAAGGGAUCCUCACACAAACAUCAUCUUGAUCUGUUGUGAACUGUCAUCAUGCAGUUGACCACUGAAAUAGGCUUUUGCACAUGUUGGAUUAGGACUGCUCAUGUUUGAUCCUAUUCCAACCGCAGAAUUGUGGUGAUCUCGUAUUCUUGGUGACAUGUAUGACAUCCAUGAUGUAUAAACCUUUGGCUGUAUAAAAGGGAUUACACGAAAGUAUUGCACACAUAGUUAUGUUUUCCUAUAUUUUGUUACUGUUUGAGAAGUACAUGCAUUAAGACAAAUGUGCAUAGGGAUGGGUGUCAUUUGCCAUGCAGAAUGUCAGCUUCAGGUUGCUUUGAUAUGUGCCAUGAGCCAUGCCACCCAUGCCAAUGCAUGUGAUUGGUUUUAUGUUUUGAGUGCAUCAAUCAUCAUGCAGCAAACUCCAACACAUGCAUUGUGUAAACCAUACCAGCUUGUUAUGGGAUGUUGUAUGGUACACCUUCUGCAGGUGUAUUUAUAUCUUAGUCAUGAUGCAUGUGGAUGCCUGUAUGCCUGUGACAUACAUGCAUAAUAGUUUGUGUUUUUUAAUGUACAAUGGUUGCUGUGAUGACAGUUUUCAUUUCAUCGAGUUUAUUAAUAGAGCUUCAUCUUACUGAGCUUCUCAUUCGAGCUUUAUUUUAUCUGGAAUUGGGUUCAUUUUCAUUUGAAAAUUGGAUCAUAUGAACCUAUUUAUGAUUUAAGCUUGUUAUAUCUGUAACUUGAAGAAUCAAAGCGGUUCCUUUCAUAUGUUUUUCUAAAAUCUAGAGAGCAAAGCACUCUUUUUUAUUGGUUUUGAUUCUGUUAUUAAAAUUUGAUUGAGAUCUUGAUUUGUUUACUCCAUCAUGUUCACUUGGUCUAUCAUGAUGUUAUCUUGUUUAAAGUCAUUGUCUAUUCCCAUUCGUAUCAUUGUCUUUUUUUAUUAUGAGGCUUAUUAACCUUUCCCAUCUUGUUAACUGGGAAAAAGUGCAGGGUUUCCCUUUUGGCUUAACCCUCAUGGUUUGUGCAUUUUUUUCCUUUUGGGAUAGAUGGGCAUUCUCAUCUUUGUAGACAAUUAUGCUAUGCAUGAUCAUGUCCUAUUCGCAUAACUUAAAAGGAUGAUAGGAUCAGAGGUUUUGGAAAUAGACUUGGUAUUAAGAGGAAAAUGAGGGGCAAAACAGAUGAGGAUACUAUACAACAUGUCGAUUUAUAGAAAUUUCAAUUUAAACAAUGAAAAUAACAAGUAUUGCAAAUUUAAAUGUUUGUCAGUUCUGAGGGCGAGGAUUGGUCUUCUAUCUAGUUUAACUUGGUAGAGAAGUUGAUCCAAAGUCUUCAAAAAAGCAAAGUGUCUCCAAGAAUGUUAAGAUUAUCAAAAUUUGGGUUUGGAAAGUUUGGCAAUGGUAGGAAGUUGAUAGGCUAUAUGGGAAAAGGGUGAUAAAGGGAUAAAUUAAUCUUGGUUCUCCGAAUUCACAUCAGGGGAAGAUUGUGGUCUCAUACGACUCAGACAACUUGUGAAAAAAACACUUCCAUUCAUUCACGAAUUUAUCAUUCUAUUGAAAUCCCGUUGUCUUUUUCUAUAGGUCCCAAGUAUAAGAAAGAAAGAAAAAACACAAAAAUAAGAAAAUAUUGCAAUUACAUCAAAUCAAAUAAUUAUCUGCUUUUUUCCUUUUUCAAAGAAAAUAAAUAAUCUUCCUUUUAAAUGAUUUAUCUACUUGAUAGAUUUGUAUCUUUAUGGAAUGAUGAAUCUUCCUUGUAGAGUUGAAAUUUUAAUCAAGAUAUGUGAUAUUCAAACAAAAUUAAAUUUUGAUUCCUUCCUUUUCUUUGCAUUUUCUUUCUUUUUCUUUUUAUUAACAUAGGAAAUUAACUACAAAUAUUGGACAUGUUGCCAUGUGACAACUGUUUUGAAAAAGAUCUUUCUAGCAUACUAAAUUUAUUCGAAAGACAAAAAUAAUUAGACUAAGACUAAAAACAUGUUAGUCGAACAACCUGAUCAUCACCAAUCUAAAGGAACUGAGGCUGAUCCUUGCUCUAGUAUAGAUCGAAAAGUAUCUCGAUUUCCAUUACUAUGGAUUUCUUGCUGCUUGGAAUGUUGAUUCAUCUUGGUUUUGCAUGUUAAAAUCAUUAUGUUUACACUGUAUAAAGGUGUUCACUUGGUGAUGCAACAACCACUGAUGCUUAUUAUGAGAAGGCAUUGGAGGUUUCAAAUAAUAGAUCAGCCCGGGCUAAGGUAAUGACAUUGUUUGCAGAAUAUAGCUGUGUGUUCUAUUUGAUUAGACCUAAUAUUGUAAGAUUGUUGAUUGUUCUCUUUGGACAGCGAUCAUUGGCUCGAAAUGCAUACAACAGGAGUGACUAUGAGACGUCAAAAACUCUUUGGUAAAUGGCGAGGGUUGGAUGAGCUUAUGAUUGUGGUCUCUUAAUGACCCAUGUUUAAUCUCCAUACUUGAUUUUGAUUUGGAAUUGAUUUGUACUCAAUGUACUGCAGGGAAUCUGCCUUGGCUCUUAAUUCACUGUAUCCUGAUGGUUGGUUUGCGCUUGGUGCAGCUGCAUUAAAGGUUUGCUUUCAUAGCUAAAUGUUUUAUAGUAGUAUCUGUCCAAAUACGUUGCAUGGAGACUUGGAGUUCUUCAAAUUCACAUUAAAUGCUGGCAUUUAAAUUUUAAAAUGUGAAAUUGUAUUUAAUUUAAGUUUUUAACAAUCUUAGCUUGUGUUUGUGAUCAAAUAUCCUUCUCAUCCUUAAAGGAAGUUCAAGCUGUAAAGUUGAUAGUUAUUCAUUCUCCUGAAAUAAGUUAAUUUGAUAACACCACCUUCAUUGCCAAAACCACAUAUUUGAUGUCUAUUAUAUGUUUGUAUAUGCAGGCCCGAGAUACUGAUAAAGCAUUAGAUGCAUUUACACGUGCUGUGCAGAUAGAUCCGGAUAAUGGAGAGGCUUGGAAUAACGUUGCUUGUUUGUACGAUUUCAUUGCCUUUAUUGUCAUCUUCAUACUGUGCUUAUUGAUUAGUAUCAUUGCCUUUAUUGGCAUCAUCAUACUGUGCUUAUUGAUUAGUAUCAUUCUUUCAGCUUAUUGGGAAAACUGGUUAUGCUUACAUUUCUCUGCUCCUCUAUGUUUAACUAGUUUCAAGAAGGGUUUUGUAUUAAUGCUUGAUUAGUUUCUUUUCUGCUGGUUUUUAUCAUGUAUUGCUACAGCAUUGUUUUUUGUUUAAGUUUGUUGUGCUGUUUCUGGCUUAUAUACACAAUGUCUAAAGCCAUGCUAUCUAUUUGUAUCAUGUUAAAAAAAUAUUCUUGCAAAUUGCUUUCAAGCUUAUUAUAACUUGGUUGGUAAAUACUUUUGUGUUGCCUUUGUGUCCUCAAAUGAGCUUUUACACUAAAUUGAACUGUUCAGGCAUAUGAUCAAGAAGAAAAGCAAGGCUGCAUUUAUUGCUUUCAAAGAAGCCUUAAAAUUCAGGUUAUUAUAUUUUUUCCUCGUUCUGAUUGUGAGGCCUGAUAAAUACAAAAUUUCAACCAACUAAUAUAAAAUAUUUAACAGGAGGAACAGUUGGCAACUAUGGGAGAACUUCAGCCAUGUUGCUCUUGAUGUAGGAAACAUUCGCCAGGUGAAUUGUUUUUUUUUUAAAUGUCAUUUGUCUCUUUCAUAAAAUUAUUCUAAAUAUAAGAUGUAGUUUAUAUUGGUUAUCUUCAUGUAAUGUCUACUUUCUUUGCUAUGCUCCCAUGUUCAAGAGAAUAAUUUGAGGGUUUACAAAAUCAAUAUUGGGAAGCUUGGGACUUCUAAAUAUCUUGAAAGUAUGGCUUGGCUGGUUUAACCAAGCUACUUGGGCAUGUUAAAGCAUUGUAAAAUGCCAAGAAAGGUACUUAUAUGCUAUAACAAAAUUAAAAAUAUUUGUUAGCGAUGGUGAUUCAUCCAUAUUACUGAUAAUAACAUUAAGCAUGUAGUAUCAAUCAUGAUAGUCAAUGAAGGGAGAAGCUUUUCAUAUUGUAUCUAGCAACACAUAAGCAGCAAAUGAACAUAAUGUACCAACUCAACAUACAAGAAGUUAAUGAUUGAAACUUUAGAAGUACAGCCACAGAAGUACUUUAGCUGUACAACAUUCAAAAACAAUAAGUUAUGCAAGUUUGGAGUCUGAACCUGAUAAUUCUCGAUGCAAAAGAAAAGUGGAAGACAAAAAUGGGCUGCUUAAUAGUCCCGCUAUCACCAAUCUUCAGAAUGGUGUUAUCUUCAUCCAGAGUUACUCCUUGUUGCAGUUACAAUCAUCUCAUGUCUUGAUCAUAUCAAGCUUGUCAAGAUCAAGUUUGUCAAAUAGUUGUGGUAGAGAGUGAUAAAUUUUGUCUUUGGCUAAAGUUCUGCAUGAUAAAGUUAAGAUGAAAGGCUUAUUAUAUUUUUCUUAUCUCUUUGUAACACUAAAUCUUUAACCUCUUGAAUCAAAGGUGUUCUCCAGUAAUACAUUUUGAAAUGACACAAUGUCCUGAUGUGCUCUAAGCCUUGUGCAAUAAAUAACACCCCAAACCAUUGAGCUCUUUUGUGCUAACCUAGUGUGUCAAUCUUGUAUAAAUUUAAUCAAACAUGCUCUUAGCUAUUAUCCUAUGUUAAAUACUAGUUGGAAGUCAAGCACACACAUAUAAACAUUUAAUGAGGAAAUUAAACUAUUUAUUUGGUAAUGCCACUAAAUUGCCUUAACCACCAAAGUUUUUGUAAAAUGUGAUUAUGUAGAAUAUAUUAACCUUACACUCUUUAAAAAUUUGUAGUUACAUAGAACAUAAAAGCCUACAAUCUUUGGAAUGAUUCUAAUCUCUUACUUUAUUGCAGUCACUAGAAGCCACAAAAAUGGUACUAGAUCUGUCGUCAAAUAAGCGAGUGGAUGUUGAAUUGCUGGAUAAGAUAUUGAGAAAGUUUGAAGAUCAUGAAAAGAACGCUAACUCUGAUCUCUCUUCAAGUGAUAUUUUUGAUGCUGAAUAUUCUUUAGUUGAGCCUUAUGACACACAAGCCAUCCCUGCAGAACCACGGGAAACUGAGCUCUUGUUGGACAUGCUUGGAAAUAUUAUGCAGCAGGUCUCCAAAAUCUAGUUUGCUUGUUCCUUUGCUUUGAAUUGUUCUUGUGUUUGUGCUGUUAAAAGUAGUUAUACCUUUUUGGCUUUAUCCUUGUCAAAAGUAAUUAUUUUAAUGCUCUUUUACAGUUACUUGGUGACAUUUUAAAGUAAGCUUCUGAUUUUUUUUUUGGUUCUAUUUCUUGCAGGUUAUCCGUAAUGGUGUCCCCGAAGAUAUAUGGGGUUUAUAUGCAAGGUGGCACAUAAUCAAAGGCAACCUUAUUAUGUCUUGUGAAGCCCUUCUGAAGCAAGUUAGAUCCUUCCAGGUAAACCUGUGAUGGAAUUAUGCUUUAUCUUGCAAGUUAGUGUCACUAAGAGGGUAUUGGGAUGAGUGUGUGGGUUAUCAGAGAGGAUAGAGUUAUUCACAACUCAUUAGGUGCUAUAUCUUAAGAUAGAAUAAGGCAAGCAAUGCAAGGUCGUUUGGACAUUUUCUAAGAUGAUAUUGGGAUGAGUUUGUGGGUUAUCAGAGAGGAUAGAGUUGGAUAAUUAUGUUGGAUAUUUGAUAACUUUUGCUACAUUUACCUUCUGUUAUUGCUUUGGCAUAAUAGGUAUUGAUAUAAAGUUUGCAAACUCUGUACUCUAUGAACUGUCUGCUCUCAUAUGCAUUCUAAUGAUAGUGGUCAGCUUGGUUGUAUCUGCAUUUCUUUCUCAUUUUUCAUUUCCUGUAUUUGAUCACAGGGCUCUGAGCUUUGGCGUGAUAGAAACCGAUUUAAAAAAUUUGUUCAUGCUUCCUUGCAACUCUGCAAAGUUUAUAUGGAUAUUGCUUCCUCUACUGGAAGCUGUCGAGAACUCUUUACAGCUGAAAUGCAUUUGCGAAGUUCGGUUAAACAGGUAAUGCACGUUAAGCUAAACAUUGGAAGGAAGCCAACUUUUUGCUAUUGUAAAUUUUGUUUUAUCUUACAUGUCAAAGCUCAUUAUAUUAAUCAUUAAUAUGAUAACUUCAAAAUAUUUGCCAUUAAGCCUCCAUAAUCAUUUUGGAUAGUCCAAGAAAACAUCAACUUGGUGGGACCAUUAAAAAAGAUGAUCCACUGCAUGAAGCUCCCGUUAAUAUGGGUUCUGUAUGCAGAUAGGCUGUUUCCAUGAACUGAACCAAGGUUAUCUGGUUUGCAAAGGUGCAAGCUUCUAUGGAGCCCAGAUUCAUGAUCUUGUUGGAUGACUUGCAAUCUAUCCAAUGUAUUAGGAACUUGUGUGACAUAAGCUCUUCCUUUUUUUUUUUUUUUCUCUUUGCCUUUUUCAUGAUGAGACAUGUUACCACCUCCAAUGGAGUUAAUUAUUGAUUGACAUGAUAUCCGAUAGUAACUUGAGAGCUGUAAUUUAAUGAUGUAUCCUUUUUGUUGAUUGCUAACUCCAAAUAGUUGCUAAGUACGGCUUGGUUGUUGUUGUAUUAUCUUUUUUAUUGAUUCUAGUCUACUAUGUUGAUUGAGGAUAUACUUUAGCAGGACUUUUUCUACAACUGACUUAAUCUGAGUUCUUAUCGACCUAAAAGUCCAGAGAAACACUUCAGCAGGAUAGACAAGUUAGGCUCACUCUAGUAGGUUUUUUUUUCCCUUUUUUGAGAUUAAGACCGAUUUAGUUGUGGUCUAGUGAAAUAUGAUUCAGUCUGUAACUCUCUUCCAGAAUUAGACUCCUAAGAUCUGUCAAAUAAGUGGCCCUGUUUAAUCUUGCAAAGUACUUCUGAUUGGUUGUUCAUUUCUUUGUUAUGGGGGUGGGUUAUAAUCAUGGAAGUCCAGUUUUCAUUCCAUUGUUGUGUUUGUAGAGAGAGCGUUAACAGCUGAGAGGAAGAAUGUCCUGAUGAUUGGAUCAAUAAUUCUUUUGAUCAAUAAGUAGAAUGCGUGCCAGUAUUUGAUCAUUGAGAAGACUUGCUAGAAUAGUUGAUUUGUUUCUAGCUUGUAUGAACAGUCAGUUACAAUAUUCUUGCCAGUAUUUGAUCAUUGUGAAAGUAUAGGUGGUUGAGCAUUUAGCAUGCCAUUUGCUCACUCACCCGAUUCUGCUUUGUUAGAAGGGUUCUGGAAUUCAGUCAUAAUCUCUUCUUUGUACUGAAACAGUUGGAUUUUAUUCCUAUUAUAGAGGGUAUAGCACUGACUAGGGAUGUGAGUAUCUAAAGUUGCUGUUCCAAUCCAAAGCCCCCUGGAGAAGUUUUCUGGUCAUAUGAUGUUUGCACCCACUAAAAAUUUGGCUGGCUUCAAUCCGGACUUGGUGAGGAUUUACUUGAAAUUUAAGCCCUUAUUUUUUGGGUACAUAUAUAAGAUUGUAGAAUAAAAUGUUAAGAUCUAGUAUAUCCAAUGCUGGAGGUUAUUGUAGGUAAAAUCUAUCUUCUGGUUGCACUUGUUUUACCUAGACUUUUCUGAUUAGAAUUUGGAUCUACUUUUAUUUUUUAAAGGAAAAAACAAUAAUCUCUUCAUGCCUCCCAAUUCUGUUUUUCCAAACUUGUUUGAUAUGUUUAAAUUUUACUUCUCUUAAGGGCAUUCAAUUUAUAACUAUGUUGUUCUUAAUGAAUAUCAUCUUAUCAUGUUUCAUCAGACUUCAUCUACUUGCAUAUUUUUUGAAGUAAGUGAAUCCCAGUGACUUGUACUUUGCAGGCUGUGGACUUCUCAGACACUGAUGAGUUUAGGGAUCUUAAAACAUGUCUUGAUGAAGUAAAGAAGCAGAUUGCUGCAACUUCUGGUGAAGGUGCCUAGCUAGAUAUGUCGACUUUAAAUAACUUUUACAUGUUUGGAGGUAAUCAUUUUUCGAAGCUGCAACUCCGUAAUUAUCCUUAUAUGAAGCUAGAUUCUGUAUCGAGAGCCAUGGUUCCUUCAUGUCAAAGAUGAUGCCAUGUCUGCCUAAAUGAGCAUUUGGGCAUGUAAUCUGAACUUGUUGAUUUUCUUUGGAUUCAGUCUCCUGUGUUACCUGAUGGUUCAAAGUUUUCUAUGACCAUGCUGAAGGACAGUCUCGGGGAGUUUGUGGUGGGUGUUUUCACGGAUGCUUCAGAAGGCUUUAUUUAUGUACUUGAGGGUUGUGUUGUUAUGAGGGAUGUGUUAUCACAUACAUGUAAAAGUUUUGAUCUAAGAAUUCCAUCUGGCAGUCAUUUUUGGCUUGAGCAUAUAUUCUAAUGGCAGAAUUCAUUGGUUCGUCAUUUUUGGCUUGAGCAUAUAUUCUAACGGCAGAAUUCAUUGGUUCUUUCAUAGACCUUGUAGUCAACCUAUCAUCUUUUGAAGGCAGCCGAGCUUGUUUUGCCGAUCAGUGUGACAAUCUUUGGAUUAAGAUAUUCACUGUUACAAUUUAGUGAUAAAGCAUAUAAUUUAGUGUGACAACUUUUUUGAAAGAAAAGAUGGCAUUAUUGAUUAACUGAGCACCGAUGCGGUGACCAUGACCAGUACUCCCAUGCAGCCAAAGUUAGCUAGUUUGUCAGCUAAUUGAUAAGUGUUUCUCCAAAUAAAAUUGAAUGUUAUAGCAGUCCGAGAUCAUGAGAUCGAUUCGUCUUUAAACACAGAUCCUAAAUAAUUUCGGUCAUAUGUUACUCGAAAGGGACAUCGAGACAAUCGGACAGAUUGGUGUGUUAUAUACCUAUCCAUAUGAUGGAUGCAGUUGAUUUCAUAACUGCUUGUGUGGGGACAUUAGGUAUACAAUAUAGGUGCUCAUUGGAGAGUAAGUUUACUAAUUGAUCUGCUUACGAAAUGCUAGAUAGUUGAUUAUACCUUGUCAGACAGCGAUUCCGUAGUCCUAUUAGUGUAUCUAGUUCUUAGACUUCAGAUACCAAUGAUGUCUUGUAUGAGUGCUCCAUUCUUUGAUACCGGACUUAUAGGUAUAGAUGUCCUAGAUCUAGUACAACCGGUCAUCGAGAGUGGCAGUCAAUCUUACGAGAGCUAUUGAUUGUCGAUAGAGGAUCAUCCACUCUCGGUGUCAUGAGAGGAAUAUCCCAUGUGUUCUUGCUCAGACAAAUCCCUAGCCAGGGUCAUUCAGAUUGAGAGAAAGAGUUAUCCAAGAGAAUCCGGUUAGAGAAAGACUUGAGAAGAAAAUGUAUGGGUUUGAUAGCACCAUGCCCGGUAUAUGGUCAUUGGGAUAUUAGAUGGAUGAUGGACUAUAGGUAUAUGGUAACUGAGGAUAGACAGGUCCAAUGGAUUGGAUUUCCCUAUAUCGUCUGGGGACUAUAACGUAGUGUCAUAGUACGUCCGUAGUCGAUGAGUUGAGUGAAUUAUUAUAGAGAUAAUAAUUCACUGAGCUAGAAGGAGUUCUGAUAGGUAUGACUCACGGCUAUCUCAUAUUAGGCCUAGAGGGUCACACACAUAUGGUAGACGUUGCAAUGAGUAGAGGUUCGAAUAUGAGAUAUCCGUCGGAGCCCAUAUCUUAUUGGAUAUCCAAUAAGCCCAUGAAUUAUUGGAUCCUAUGAAUGAGAUCCAAUAAAAAAGCUCAUGAGAGAUUAUUGAAUAGAAAUCCACUAAUUUAAGAGGCUUGAGUAGUUGGAUGUAGAUCCAAUACCCAAUAAGAGAGGAUCCAUUAGGGUUAAAUUGAUAGAGGACUUAUAUAAAUAGGAGGGAUUCAGUGGUUCAUAGGCUAGAGCCUUUGCUUGCCUCUCAUAUUCUCCUCCCCCUCUCCUCCUCAAAGUAGGCCUAGAGUUUUGAGGAGUGUCGUCGCAGCCCUAUUGUGUGGAUCACCGCUAGAGAGGGCGCUUGACCUCCUUCUCCCUCUCCUAGAAAUCUAUGAGGAUUCAGGGAUAUACGAUCUCCCUAGGUAAUAUAAUCUUUACUAUACACAAUUUUUUGUUUUGCGGAUUGUGUACCAAUCUUCGCACGACGACGAACAAAUCUUUGAAAAAUUGAGGAUUUUGUUUUCUUUUCUUCCGCUGCGCAUGUGAUGUCUUCCCCAAGAUUUUUCAAUAGUGGUAUCAAAGCCAGGUUGUUCGUGUGAAAGAUUGGUUUUGAACUACGUGUGUUGUGUUUGUGCAAUGCUUUUGAUGUCAUCAGCCCCCACGGGGGUGACGACUACAAGAAUAACCCCGCGAGCAGAACCGCCCAUAGGGGCGGUGGUGCCCGCAGGGGCACCCGCCAGCGGGUGCGCCUAACUGUAGCGACGCCGCCUUUCGGGCACACCUCCCGCAGGCAAGGGCAGUGCCCCGCACCCCGCCGCACACGCCACCGGCAAUAGGGUGGUGGCAACGGUAGCAACAAGGGAGAGGGAGAGGGGCUUAGGGUUUUGGGCAAAACGAUAGUUUUGCCCCUAUGAAUUUUUAAAAUUCUAAUUCUGUCUUUUUUGUCCAAAUUAUGAAAAUACCCCUCAGAAUUCAUAAAAUUUCCUAUAUGUCCGUGAUUUCAUAAAUAUUAAUUAAUCAAAAAGUUUAAUUGAUUAUUAUUUUUAUUAUUAUCUAGUAGUCCUAUAUGAUGAUUAUUUAUACAUGUGAUGCAUGAUGUGUGGACGGAUGAUCAUGGACCAUGUUAUGUGUGUACUUGUGAUCAUUAUUAUUGGAGCCUACGAGCCUUCAUUAUAUUUCUCGUUUAUUGUUGGGCUUGUGUGCCUAUGAUUAAGUUAUAAUCAUAUGAGGAGGCGUAGUGGGAGCGUGGAUGCAAUAGCGAGACCCACGAGAUGGGCGAUCGCGAUGCAUGGAGAUGCGUCGAGAUGUCGACGGAACCAACAAGGAUGAGAUGGAAAGUCACAGGGCAUGGAGAUACACUGCUACACACAUAGAUCUUGAUGUGAGUGAUUAGGCCCAUUAUCUCAGGCUUGAUCAUAUUAGGUUGUGGUCCAUGAUCAUCUAGUGUGAUUGCUUAUACACAUACUAGAUAUGUAUAUAUAUUUGCAUGUUGUGUAGAGAUAUAUUAAAUAUAUAUAUGUGUGACAUGUCAUAUUAGGAGACCAAAUCAUAAAAACCCCUCUCUCGAUAAUAUUAAGUCGGUAAACGUGAGACAAUUAGAUUGACCCACGUGGCCUUCCAUCGUUAAAGGUAGGGACCGAUUCCCGGUAUAGGUUGAAUUUGUUAAGUCCCUUGAGGGUCUUGCCUAUAUCGCGAUUCGUUAUUUUGCCUAUGACAUAGAGAUGUCACCGGUAACUUGAGGACAUGGUAUGCUUAGUCGAGUCCCUCAAGGUUAUAUCAUCAAAUCAGCCUUAUCUUGUAACGAUAGUGUUGACUUAACUGAACAUCAGGGUUGGUCGAGUCCCUCGAGACCAUGGUGAUUCGGAGGCCGAACAGGACAGGAAUCACAAGGAGUUGUGAUCGACAAGAGUUGGCUACCUUUCGGGCUUAGUGUGAUUGGUCGAGUCUCUCGAGGUUACACUAAGACACUGAUUGGAUCUUGAUCCCCACUAGAAGUCUAUCAGAGACUUCCGUUUCAUGUGCUGAGGGUGUCGCGUGACUCAUCGGUAAAAUAGUGGGAACAUAUUAAGAUAGAAGUCUAUAUCUUGAUUGUUUAUUUUUGUAAAAUCUGCAUGUUAUUUAUUUCUGCUGCAUCUUUAUUUUCAGAAAAUGUCACUUUCAAAUCCCUUACGUGGCAUACUUGAUGUCAACCAUCUCACAGGUCCAAAUUAUACGGAUUGGCUUCAUAACUUGAGAAUUGUUCUCACGUUGGAGAAAAUCAUAUACGUCCUUAAUACAUUGAUGCCUAUACUCGAGGAAGGGGCAAGCGAGGAUGAGAUCGCUCGCUGUGUGAAGUACAUUGAUGACUCCACUCUUGCUCAGUGUUAUAUGUUGGACUCUAUGACUCUUGAGUUACAGAGAUAACAUGAAAGAAUGGAAGCCAGAUCCAUACUACUACAUGUCCGCAAACUGUUUGAGGAACAGGGAAGGACUCAGUGAUAUGAGAUAUCCAAGAGCCUCUUUCGAACUAGGAUGACUGAGGGGACACCGGUUCAGAACCAUGUCAUAAAAAUGAUUGAGUGGAUAGAGAAACUUAUACAUCUAGAAAUGGUCCUAGAGGAUAACAUGUGUGUGGACAUUGUGCUUCAGUCCCUACCAGAAUCAUUUUCACAGUUCAUAAUGAAUUUUAAUAUAAACAAGCUUGAGGUGACUCUCUUGGAGCUCCUCAAUAUCUUGAGGGAGGCAUAGAGCACUAUCAAGAAAGAGAAGCCAGUUCUCUACACUGGUGAGACCAGAAAGAAUAGGAAAGAAGAAAAAUCCCUUAAGAAGGACAAGGGCAGACUAGGUAACUUAAAGGUUGCUAAGAAAGACCCGGCAAAGGACAAAGGCCAGUGCUUCCACUGUUGCAAAGAUGGGCAUUGGAAGACGAACUGCAAAGAGUACCUUGCAGAGAGGGUGAAACAGAAGCUUGAAGAAGCUUCAGGUAUAUUCAUUAUCAGUCUCCAUUUGUCAGACUCUUAUGAUAACACAUGGGUAUUGGA